GUGUUUGAUGUGAAGCUUGUCAUAUGGAUUUUCGCCAGUGAAGUACAUGCGUUCUUCAUAGAAUGCCUCUUUCUAAAACUUUGGCCUUUUGGAGAAAGGAUGAUUCUGCUGCGGUUGAAGAUUGUGCUGUUGUUCUUGAGUACUAGCCACUACCAUUGUUGUUUGUGUGUUUACCACAACAAUAGCGGUUUUAGUGUAAGGCGCAGUAGCAUUUUCUUCAGUUGGGACAUUUUCCUCAGUUUGAGGAUUUCCUUCCGUUUGAGGAUUUGCCUCAGCUUGGGGAAAUUGCUUAUUGGAGGAGGCAGUUGCAGUAUUCAUUGCUGCAUUGUCUUCAGCUGAUGCAACUGAUUCUUGAGCAGAUUCCUCACGAAUGCUUUUCCCGUCGGAACAUGUGAGGAUUUCAGUAGUAGCAGGAGUCGAAGGAAUUCAAGUUGACCUUGGUGAGUGAGGAUGAGUUUCUUCUCAGAAAUCAUCAUGAAUUACUGGAGUGUUGUACCCAGUGUCAUCAUCACCCACUUGUUCUUCAGUGGUCUUUGGAGGAAUGGUGGACUGAGGAAUAUCAUCUAUCUGUAUUUCCUCAUCCAUUAUUUCUUCAUUUUCAGCAUCAUCCAUUUCAUCAUCUUCUUCAGGAAUGACAUAGUCAACUCCAAAGGGAACGAUCAAGUAUGAUGGUGCUACAUUCAGAGGAGUAGCAUCCUCUAGGGCAGAUGAAGACUCUGACUGAGUAACCUUCAGACGUUUGGCCUCUGAGGUUUCUAAGGUCGUUGAAGCUUUUCUCUUCUUUGUUUCUUUCUCAGCCGCUUUAGCCUUCUUCACGUCUGAUGCAGACAGAGUCACUUUCUUCACCUUUGAGGGCCUGGCAGUUUCAUCAAGGACUGGUGCAGUGUCAGGCCUGGGAGUUUUGUCACCUCGAGCAUUUUCUUCAGAUGGAAUAUCUUGAGCAAUUUCCUCAACAGCUGGUUCAUCAGUUUCAUCUUCCUCACGCAGCUGAACAGUGUAGCUUGACUGAGGUGUUGUUUUCUGCAUUGGAGGGGCCGCUCUCUUGUUGUAUUCAUCAACAACAGCAGAUGCAGCCUUGAUCAAAUUCACCUUGACGCCUUCACGGUCAGUGUGAAGACUUGUAUACUUGUUUGUUAGAGUUUUAAGUUCACCCUGAGUUGAUACAAGUGCUUCAGGCGUUAGCUUGAGGAGAUUAUGCUUGAGGAAUUUCUCCUUCUUGAGUUUUGCAGCCUUUGCUUGCUUGGCUUGCUACUCUUUCCACUUUGCCUCAUUGAUGAAAGUGGCUACCAUAUGGUUGACACCAGGGGGAAGCUUUAAGUCAUCAACAGGGGUGUCUGGAUCUUCAUACCAGAGGUCGAUGAAAUCCAACAAAACCUUCGGGUCCAUGGCUAGAGGAAUGGAGCUGACGGAGGCUUGUGCAACCCGUUCCUGUUUGUUUCUGAUGAUAGCUUGAAGUGUCUCCUCAUCAAAUUCUUCACUUCCUUCUGAUGCAGAAGGAAUGUUGAUGACUUUGCUUGGACUUGGCCUGACGCCUCUACCAAUAGUCAUUUUUGUCUUCAAUAAAGUAGGUGAAGACAUCGCAGCAGAGCUAGUGGCAUACGACACUGAGGAACUUGAUUGAGCAGGUUGAUGCUUAAUGAGCUGCUUCUACUGUGGUUGUGAAGAUUGUGGUGUUGUUGAAGAUUUUGCUGUCGUUGCAGCCUUCUGAGACAAUUUCUCUUUUUUCAUAGGGGCUUUGGGUUUGUUUAGCAAAACCUUCUUCUGAGGAAUAGUUGUAGCACACGCCUCAGCAGGUGAAGAAGUGGCGGUAGUGGCUGCAGCAGCAGAGUCAUCAUUGAAUUUCUUCAUAGCUGCUUCCGCCUUCUUCUGUAACUUAGACAAAUAUUUGUCUUUCUCAUCAGGGUAAUCCUCAAUAGUUUUAACGCUUCAGGGAUGAGCGACUUGUUGAUCAUCCUGUGGAGGCCUUUUGCAAGGGGGCUUGAGAGCGAAUUUCUUCGCAUACUUUGGAGUAACAUAUCUGUACUCCUUCCACUCCUUAGCCAACAUGCGUUCAAUUUUCUGAAGCCUUAUAUUGCGCUUCGCCAUGGUUUCUUUACCAUGAAUCUCCUCAUCUGGAAUGCAAUAGUCAGCAUAUAUGUCUUCAGAUAUUUCAAAUGUUGUGUUCUGUUCAAGCUUCUUUCCUCCCCUUUUGCUUUCGGUCAUCCUCCAUUUUCUUCAACUGAGGCUUUUGCUGAGGAAUCUCAACUCUUGAUGAUUCUGAUGACACAGGCAGAGUUUCUUCGAGAAAUGCUGCAAAUGAGUUAAGUUGAUAAGAACCUAGAGAUUCAUCAGCUAACAUUUUUGUACGUGUGAACAGAGUAUAGGUGCGAAGAAUUUGGAGAGGUCAUAUGCAUUCUCAGAUUUGAAGAAAUUGAAUUUUUUUAGAAGUUGAGGAAUUUGACCAGUGGGUUGAGGAAUUUGACUAAGCAUUCUGAUCUUGGGUUCGAGAGUUGUGCGGAUUCGAGAAUUUACACAAUUGAGGAAUCUCAUGAAGAAUUUUAGUGGCUUAGUGAAAUUCAUCAAGUGUUUUAGGAAUGAGUGUGCAUGGUUGACUGACACUCUGAGGAAAAACAGAUUUCGCGAGUCUAAAGUGAAUUAAAAGAUCAACACAGGCAGUAAAAUAGGAUUUUAAUUACCCUAAGUAAAGAACAGGAAGAACUGGAGCAGUAAAAGAGGGAAGUUCCUCGGUUCAGAUCUUUAGCGCCCUAACUUGGCAACUGAAAUCAGCUACGGUGGUGGCGGAAGAUGAUUUUCCACGGUCGGCGUGAGUCUGGCGAAGACGAGGGCAAGGCAGCGAAGCUUUUCCUCGCCGGCGACGAGAUUGCUAGCGGUGGCACUACGGUUGAGCUCGAGCGGAGAAGACGAGAGGACGAAGAGUUCUGACUGAGGGGGGGUAAGGGCCUAUUUAUAGCUCAGGUGAAAAACUGUUCAGACGAAACUUUCAGACCAAGCUGCCCUUGCCCAUUCUUCUCCGCAUUACACGUGGAGCCCACGACUAAAGUGGUGGAGUUCGUGGUUAUCCGAUCGUGAGAAGUGGGUCCAGAUACUGUGUAAUGUUAUAAAAAUGAUUUUUGAGUUUUUGAGGAUUUUGUCGCAAAGUCCUCAGCUGACAAGGACACAGUGAGGAUUUUGAACAAGUGUCAAGUAGAAUGCAUAUGAAGAAAUGAAUAGACUGGGUUGAGCUUAGCAUAGAGGGGAGUCGGGUCCGAUCGCAUUCACUUAGAUAAAAUAUCAAAUUGAAGACAGAGCUAUAAGUGAAUGUUGUUGAGGACUUUGAAAUCUCAGCCUAUAUAUAUAUAUAUANUAAGGAUUUGUGACAAAGUGUCAGAUUGAUGAAUUUCAACUUUGAAGAAAAACAGCUUGAAGAAUUUCAAAGUUGGGUGGUGGCGUGACCCACCGUAUAAGAAUGAUGAUUUCAGGCGCCGCAUACAAUUUUCGUAGGGCCGUGAGAACCAAAUUCUUCAUUAAUUACUCACACUAAGAGUGAUAUUCUUCAUUGAUUGAAGAAAAUCUAUUCUUCGUGUGUUGCACAUCUAAGUCAUCAAUUUUGCAUAAGUGUUAGGAUGUGCGCAUGUUUUCACAAAACAUUUGAAGACUUUAGGAUAUAUAGCUCACACCUCAACUUGCAAAACAUUCACUCAUCCAAGGGCUUAGUGAAAAUAUCUGCUAGCUGAUCGUCAGUCUUCAGAUGAUCGAUGAUGAUGUUGCCUUUGAGGACAUGGUCCCGAAGAAAAUGAUGACAAAUCUGGAUGUGCUUAGUCUUCGAGUGUUGGACUGUGUUGUACGUGAUCUUGAUUGCACUCUCAUUGUCACAGUAGAGGGGCACAUUCUUCAUGUUGAUGUCGUAGUCUGUGAGGGUUUGCUUCAUACACAGUAGUUGAGCAUAGCAGGAUCCAGCAGCAAUGUACUCGGUUUCGGCAGUGGAGAAAGAGACACAGUUCUGCUUCUUUGAGGUCCAGCACACUAAUGAUCUUCCGAGGAAAUGACAUGUCCCAGAUGUUGACUUGCGAUCCACAUAGUCACCACCAUAAUCAGAAUCAGAAUAUCCAACAAGAUGAAGAUUUGAGCCCUGAUGACCCACAAGUACACGGAAUCUAUCGUAGUCCUUUCGAUAAGUAAGAGUGUCGAACCCAGCGAUAUACCUGCUGAUCAAAAUCUUUAACCAUUUUCAUCACUACACAGGUGGCCAUUGGUAGGCAUAAGAAUCUCGGCGCCUUUGCAUUCAUGCAUGUUGAAUUUCAUCAAAACGUCCUUGAGGUAUUUCUUCUGUGAUAUGAAGAUGCCAUUGCAUUGUUGGCGAAUUUGAAGACCUAAGAAGAAUUUCACCUCCCCCAUCAUAGACAUCUGAUAUUCUUCACUCAUCAUGUAAGCAAAUUCUUCACUAUAACAUUUGUCAGUACAACCAAAGAUAAUGUCGUCGACAUAUAUUUGGCACACAAAUAGUUCAUUGUCAUAAGAUUUUGUGAAAAUAGUUGGAUCGAGUGAACAAGGCUUGAAGCCUUUCUUCAUGAGGAAUUCCUUCAAUGUGUCAUANAGGCUUGAAGCCUUUCUUCAUGAGGAAUUCCUUCAAUGUGUCAUACCACGCCUGAGGGGCUUGCUUGAGGCCAUAGAGUGCCUUUUUGAGUCUGAAGACUUUUUCUGGAUGCUUCAAAUCCUCAAAACCUGGGGGCUGAGCAACAUAUACUUCUUCCUCAAGCUUACCAUUGAGGAAUGCAUUUUUCACAUCCAUUUGAUAUAGAGUAAUAUUAUGAUGAUUAGCAUAAGCAAGUAGUAUUCGAAUAGCUUCAAGUCUAGCAACAGGUGCAAAAGUUUCAUCGAAAUCGAUUCCUUCAACCUGUGUGUAGCCUUGGGCUACAAGUCGUGCCUUAUUCCUCACCACUUGACCAUCCUCAUCUUGCUUGUUUCGGAAAAUCCACUUGGUGUCGAUGAUAUUGUGCUUGCGAGGAUCUCGCCGUUUGAUGAGUUCCCACACGUCAUUUAGCUUGAAUUGAAGAAGUUCAUCUUGCAUGGCUUGAAUCCACUCAGGUUCCAUGAAAGCUUGAACAACUUUUGAGGGUUCUGUGAUAGACACAAAAGAGAAAUGCCCACAAAAUUUAACUAAAUGUGAAUCUUUUGAGCGAGUGAGAGGACCUGGCGCAUUGAUGUCAUCAAGGAUUUUUGUCAAGUUCUACUUCAUUUGCAAUCCUUGGAUGAGCUGGUUGAGGAUUUUGUCUCGGCUGAAGAAUUUGAUUCGGAGCAAUUUGCUCAAGUGCACCUUCCUAAAUUUCAUCGGUGUUGGGGACGAUUUCUUCAUCAAUUUCCUCAGUAGGAACAAUGUCUUCAGUAGCUUUGAACUUGAUAGCUUCCUCAGGAGAUAAUUUGUCUGGCACAGGAGGCAAUUGCUCUCUUUGCAAGCCAUUAGUUUUAUCGAACCGCACAUCUAUAGUUUCAACAACCUUGUUGUGAUAGGUGUUGAAGACUCUAUAGGUGUGCGAGUCCUUUCCGUAACCAAACUCAUGCUUUUGUUCUUUUCUCAUUCUUUUGAUCAUGGCAUCAGGCAAGGCCCUUAACUAAGACACUCUUUAUUAUAUGGUUCACGAGCUCAAAUACAUCGGGGGUGACACAAAGCAAAACUCAAGCCUAAAACACUAAGACCUUUAAUAUUCUAGAGAAAGAGAAAAUUGAAAAGGAACAAACUAAAACAAAGGUAAAGGCAAACGAUGUGAUGGUGAUACGAUACAGGGGAAACUCCCCCAAGCUUGGCACAAGCCAAGGGGAUUGCCCAUACCCAUGCUCAGUUGUCUUACUUUGGAGGUGAUGGUGUUGGAGUUGUUGCAGAGGUCAUGAACUUGUUUAAUUUCCACUUAAGCAUAAAAUUCUGCUCCCUCAGAUCAUCAUUUUCCUCUUCAAGCCUCAACACCCUUUGGCAUAAUUCCUGCUUACUCUCUUGCAAGAAACGAGAAGGGAUAAACAAAGUCUUAGGCUUAUUCCUUGAGUCAGGGAGGCUCGACUUCUUGAACUCCACAUGCGUGUGUCCAAGUUGAGGUAGAGGAGCCUCCUCCUCAUCGGAACUUGUUUGUUCCUUCCCCUUGGGAUCAUAACUUCUUCCUCAUCAGUGGUCCAGCCAUAAGGAUCCAAGACCCCAUAAACCUUGGGGUUAGCAAGGUAAUCAGCCACAUAGCUCUCCCCCUCUGAAUCCUGAGAAGACAUCUUGACCUAAAUAUGCGGCAGAAAACAGGCUCGAAACAAAAACAGAGGAAAUUUGCGUGAUGCGAGAGUCAUACCUUUCAGGAGAAUAUAUAAUGAUUUUUUCCAGAACAGAAGGAGUACUCCGCAAGAAAAUAGAGUCCGGGAAGCACACGAGGUGGCCACAAGCCCCCCAGGCGCAGCCAAGGGGGUGGCCCGCGCCUGGCAGGCUUGUCGCCUCCUCGUGCGCUUUCCGGACUACUUCAAAUUUUUCUAUUUUUUCAAAAAAUCAAAAACGGAGAAAAUUCCUACUGGAAAAGUUUUGGAGUCUGUUUACUUACCGAAUCACAUACCUCUUUGUUUUCGGAGUCUGAAACAGGUUGAUAAAUAUCCCUUAGAUAUUCCUCCGGAGUUAUGGUAUUGAUAAUAUUGCUUUCAACAUUUAUGGGAGUACCUGAGAUAUAAUGCUUGAUUCUCUGCCCAUUUACCACUCUCGGACAAUUAUCUUCCGUGUUGUUGAUCUUGAUGGCACCGGAACGAUAUACUUCCUCAACAAUAUAGGGACCUUCCCAUUUAGAGAGAAGCUUGCCUGCAAAAAAUCUUAAACGAGAAUUAUAUAGCAAGACAUAAUCACCUACAUUGAACUCACGCUUUUGUAUCCUUUUAUCAUGCCACCUCUUAACCUUUUCUUUGAUCAACUUGGCAUUCUCAUAUGCCUGAGUUCUCCACUCAUCAAGUGAGCUAAUAUCAAAUAACCUCUUCUCACCAGCAAGUUUGAAAUCAAAGUUGAGCUCUUUGAUUGCCCAAUAAGCUUUAUGCUCUAGCUCAAGAGGUAAAUGACAUGCUUUACCGUACACCAAUUUGUACGGGGACAUGCCCAUGGGAUUUUUAUAAGCAGUUCUAUAAGCCCACAGUGCAUCAUCGAGCUUCUUAGACCAAUUCUUUCUAGACCUGUUGACAGUCUUUUGCAGAAUCAGUUUAAUCUCUCUAUUUCUUAGCUCUACUUGACCAUUGGACUAAGGGUGAUAGGGAGACGCAAUUCUAUGGUUGACAUCAUACUUAGCAAGCGUUUUUCGGAAAGCACCAUGAAUGAAAUGUGAACCACCGUCGGUCAUUAGAUAUCUAGGGACUCCAAAUCUCGGGAAAAUAACUUCUUUAAGCAUCCUGAUAGAAGUGUUGUGAUCAGCACUACUGGUUGGGAUAGCUUCUACCCACUUAGUGACGUAAUCAACAGCAACUAGGAUAUGAGUAUACCCGUUGGAUUUUGGAAAAGGUCCCAUAUAAUCAAAGCCCCAAACAUCAAAUGGUUCAAUAACAAGUGAAUAGUUCAUAGGAAUUUUCUGACGUUUACCGAUAUUACCUAUUCUUUGACAUUCGUCACAAGACAAGACAAACUUACGGGCAUCCUUAAAGAGAGUGGGCCAAUAGAAAUCUGAUUGCAAUACCUUGUGUGUAGUUCUAUCUCCCGCAUGGUGUCCUCUGUAGGCCUCGGAGUGACACUUCUGUAGGAUCUAUCCCUGUUCAUGUUCAGGUACACAACGUCUAAUAACACCAUCUACUCCUUCCUUAUAAAGGUGAGGAUCAUCCCAAAAGUAAUGUCUCAAGUCAAAGAAGAAUUUCUUCUUUUGCUGGUAUGUGAAACUAGGUGGUAUAUAUUUGGCAACGAUAUAGUUUGCAUAAUCAGCAUACCACGAUGCACUACGUGAAGUAUUGAUGACAUUCAGUUGCUCAUCAGGAAAGCUAUCAUCAAUAGGUUGUGGGUCAUCAAGCACAUUCUCCAACCUAGACAAGUUAUCUGCUACGGGGUUAUCAGCACCCUUCGUGUCGACAACGUGCAAAUCAAACUCUUGUAGCAAGAGAACCCAUCUGAUAAGUCUAGGUUUAGCGUAUUUCUUCUCCAUGAGGUACUUAAUAGCAGUGUGAUCAGUGUGAAUAGUGACUUUGGAAUCAACUAUGUAAGACCUGAACUUUUCACAUGCAAACACGACUACUAAAAAUUCCUUCUCCGUAGUAGCAUAGUUUCUUUGGGAAUUGUCUAGAGUUUUACUAGCAUAGUGAAUAACAUUCAACUUCUUAGCAACUCUUUGCCUAGGAAAGCACCAACAGCAUAAUCACUAGCAUCACACAUGAUUUCAAAAGGUAAGUUCCAAUCAGGUGGUUGAAUAAUAGACGCAGUUAUCAAAGCCUUCUUAAGUAUUUCGAAGGCUUCCUCACAAUCAUCGUCAAAAACAAAAGGAAUAUCCUUUUGCAAGAGAUUGGUAAGAGGCCUAGAAAUCUUAGGAAAGUCCUUAAUGAACCUCUUAUAGAAACCAGCAUGACCAAGGAAACUUCUUAUACCUUUGAUAUCUGUGGGGUAUGGCAUUUUCUCGAUUGCAUCAACCUUAGCCUUAUCAAAUUCAAUACCUCUUUCAGAAAUUUUAUGUCCUAAGACGAUGCCUUCAUUAACCAUAAAGUGGCACUUCUCCCAAUUCAAGACAAGAUUGGUAUCUUUACAUCUCUGCAAGACUCGAUCAAGGUUGUUGAGGCAACAUUCAAAAGAAGACCCGUAAAUGGAGAAGUCAUCCAUGAAAACCUCGACAAUCUUUCCACAAAUGUCAGAGAAUAUAGCCAUCAUACAUCUUUGAAAGGUGGCAGGUGCGUUACAUAAGCCAAAAGGCAUACGUCUAUAAGCAAAGGUACCGAAAGGGCGGGUGAAAGUGGUUUUCUCCUGAUCAGAUUGUGCAACUGGUAUUUGGGAGAAACCAGAAUAACCAUCUAGAAAGCAGAAGUGUGUGUGUUUAGACAGUCUUUCUAGCAUUUGGUCGAUAAAAGGCAAAGGGUAAUGAUCUUUCCUAGUGGCUUUAUUCAACUUCCUAAAAUCGAUCACCAUCCUAUAGCCAGUAAUAAUCCUCUGUGGGAUCAAUUCAUCCUUAUCAUUGGGGACAACGGUAAUACCUCCCUUCUUAGGGGCGCAAUGCACUCGACUCACCCAAUCACUAUGAGCAACAGGAUAGAUAAUACCUACUUCCAGGAGCUUUAGUAUUUCUUUUCUUACUACCUCUUUCAUCUUAGGAUUUAAUCUCCGCUGAUGAUCAACAACUGGUUAGGAAUCAGGAUCGUUUUUAAUCUUGUGCUGGCAUAGAGUGGGACUAAUUCCGUUAAGAUCAUCAAGAGUAUAUCCAAUAGCAGCACGGUGCUUCCUCAGAGUUUUUAGUAACUUCUUUUCUUCAUGCUCUGGGAGGCUAGCACUAAUUAUGACAGGAUAUAUCUCCUUUUCAUCAAGAUAAGCAUACUUAAGACUAUCUAGCAACUAUUUAAGCUUGAACACAGGAUCACCCUUUGGUGGGGGUGGAUCCCAAAGCAGUUCAACACGCAGAUUAUUCUUAAGGAUAGGAUAUUGUUCUAAGACAACUCUAUCUAUCUCAUCCCUUUCAUCCAUAUGCAUAUCAUUUUCAUUCUCAAGCAAGUAUUUCUCAAAGGGAUCAGUAGGAGGCACGGCAAUAGAAGCUAGGGCAAUAAUUUCAUCCUUACUAGGCAACUCUUUUUCAUGAGGUUGUCUACCAAACUUGGAGAAAUUGAACUCAUGUGACACACCUUCAAAGCCAACAGUGACAGUUUGCUUCUCACAGUCAAUAUGAGCAUUGACAGUAUUGAGAAAAGGUCUGCCAAAUAUGAUGGGACAAAAGCUAUCUUGUGUGGUAGCAAGAACGAGGAAAUCAGCAGGAUACUUCGUUUUACCACACAAGACUUCAACAUCCCUAACAAUUCCCACAGGGCAGAUAGUAUCUCUAUUGGCAAGCUGAAUAGUGACAUCAAUGGGUUCUAUCUCAACAGGUGCAAUCCCAUCUUUAAUUUCAUCAUAUAAGGAUUGAGGUAUUGCACUAACACUAGCACCCACGUCACAUAAACCAUGAUAACAAUGAUCUCCUAUCUUAACAGAAACAACAGGCGUGCCAACAACAUGCCUAUGUUUGUCUCUAGCGUGUGGUUUAGCAAUUCUAGCAGCAUCUUCACAGAAGUGAAUAUCAUGGCCAUCAACAUUGUCAGACAGGAGAUCUUUGAUAAUAGCAAUGCUAGGUUCAACUCUAAUUUGCUCAGAGGGUGUAGGUGUUCUAAUGUGGCCUCUACGUAUCACAGUUGAAGCUUUAGAAUGAUCCUUUAUCCUAACAGGCAAAGGUGGUUUCUCAAUGUAAGCACUGGGAACAAUAGGAUCAUUAUAGGCAAUGACUUUCUCUUCAACUGGAUUGGGUUGAACUACAUUGACUUCUAAGGGAGGAUGAUAUUUAAACCACUUCUCUUUGGGGAGAUCAAUAUGAGAAGCAAAAGAUUCACACAAUGAAGCUACUAUCUCAGAGUCAAGUCCAUACUUAGCGCUAAAAUCACAAAAGGUAUUUGUUUCAACAAAGGAUUUGACGCAAUCAAACUUGAAAUUCAUACCUGACUCAUUACCUUCAUCAAGCUCCCAAUCUUCAGAGUUGCGUUUAAUUCUUUCCAAUAAAUUCCAUAUGAAGUCAAUAUCUCUCUUCAUAAAAGAACCGGUACAAGAAGUGUCAAGCAUGGUGCGAUCAUCAUGAGAAAGCCGAGCAUAGAAGUUCUGAAUGAUAAUUUCUCUUGAGAGCUCACGGUUGGGGCAUGAAUAUAACAUUGAUUUAAGCCUCCCCCAAGCUUGAGCGAUGCUUUCUCUGUCACGAGGCCAAAAAUUAUAUAUAUAAUUCCGAUCAUGAUGUACUAGAUGCAUAGGAUAAAACUUUUGAUGAAAUUCCAAUUUCAACCGAUUGUAGUUCCAUGAUCCAGUAUCAUCACAUAGCCUAUACCAUGUCAACGCCUUAUCCCUAAAAGAUAAGGGGAAGACCUUCUUCUUGACCUCAUCCUCGGGUAAACCUGCAAGCUUAAAUAAACCAAAAACUUCAUCUACAUAGAUUAGAUGCAAGUCUGGAUGUGAUGUUCCAUCUCCUGUAAAAGGAUUAGCCAGCAGCUUCUCAAGCAUACCCAAAGGAAAUUCAUAGAAAAUAUUUUUAGUAGGUGCAGAAGGUUGAGGACCAACUCUUUGUGCUUCCAUUCGAGGUGAAGAUACCCCGAACAAGCCCCUCAGACGAUUAGUUUCCAUAGUGACAAGUGACAAUAAAUUUCAGCACACUAUAUAAAUGUUUCCUUACCAAAUUCCGCUUACCAAAGGCGCUUCACUCCCCGGCAACGGCGCCAGAAAAGAGUCGUGAUGACCCACAAGUAUAGGGCAUCUAUCCUAGUCCUUUCGAUAAGUAAGAGUGUUGAACCCAACGAGGAGCAGAAGGAUCUGACAAGUGGUUUUCAGCAAGGUAAUAUCUGCAAGCACUGAAAUUAUCGAUAACAAGUAGUUGUGUGGUGAGAUGAUUUGUAGCAAGUAGCAAGUAACAAAAGUAACAACGGUGCAGAAAAGUGGCCCAAUCCCUUUUGUAGCAAGGGACAAGCCUGGACAAAGUCUUAUAGGAGGUAAAAUGCUCCCGAGGACACAUGAGAAUUUCUGUCAAGCUAGUUUUCAUCAUGUUCAUAUGAUUCGCGUUUGUUACUUUGAUAGUUUGAUAUGUGGGUGGACCGGCACUUGGGUACUGCCCUUACUUGGACAAGCAUCCCACUUAUGAUUAACCCCUCUCGCAAGCAUCCGCAACUACGAAAGAAGAAUUAAGACAAAGUCUAACCAUAGCAUUAAACUAGUGGAUCCAAAUCAGCCCCUUACGAAGCAAUGCAUAAACUAGGGUUUAAGCUUCUGUCACUCUAGCAACCCAUCAUCUACUUACUACUUCCCAAUGCCUUCCUCUAGGCCCAAAUAAUGGUGAAGUGUUAUGUAGUCAACGUUCACAUAACACCACUAGAGGAAAAACAACAUACAACACAUCAAAAUAUCGAACGAAUACCAAAUUCACAUGACUACUUAUAGCAUGACUUAUCCCAUGUCCUCGGGAACAAAAGUAACUACUCACAAAGUAUAAUCAUAUUCAUGACCAGAGAGGUAAUGAGUAGCAUCAAAGAUCUGAACAUAUAAUCUUCCACCAAGUAAUCCAACUAGCAUCAACUACAAAGAGUAAUUAACACUACAGGCAACCUUAGAAGUACCAAUCGGAGUCGCGAGACGGAGAUUGGUUACAAGAGAUGAACUAGGGUUUGGAGAUGAGAUGGUGAUGAUGAAAAUGCUGAUGGUGAUGAGUCCCCUCCGAUGAGAGGAGUGUUGGUGAUGACGAUGGCAACGAUUUCCCCCUCCGGGAGGGAAGUUUCCCCGGUAGGAUCGUCCUGCCGGAGCUCUAGAUUGGUUCUGCUCAAGUUCCGCCUUGUGGCGGCGGCGAAUCCUCCGAAAAGCCUCCUCUUGAUUUUUUUUCCAGACUGAAACCCUUCUUGUAGAAAAAUAGGGGGGCCAGAGGGCCAAGUGGGAGCCCACAAGCCCCCUAGGCGCGGUCAGGGGGAGGCCGCGCCUAGCAGGCUUGUGGCCUCCUGCUGGCGCCCCUCUGGUACUUCUUCGGCCUAGUAUUUUUAUAAAUCCCAAAAAAAAUCCUCGUUGAUUUUCACGGCUUUUGGAGUUGCGUAGAAUAGGUAUCUCAAACUUGCUCCUUUUUCAGGCCAGAAUUCCAGCUGCUGGCAUUCUCCCUCUUCAUGUAAACCUUGCAAAAUAAGAGAGAAAAGGCAUAAGUAUUGUAGCUUGAAGUGUAAUAACAGCCCAAAAAGUGAUAAAUAUCAACAUGAAAGCAUGAUGCAAAAUGGACGUAUCAAGCCCUUGGGGUACCAUAAUCCUAGUGUUGGUGUGUGAGCUAAGUAUCGAAGAAUAUGCUUCACAGCCUUAUGGUGUGAUUCCUUCGGUUUUGCUUGAAAACAAGCACACAUGCAAACACUAAGCAUUAUAUCUCGCAUAGAUGCACAUAGAUACAAUAAAGAGGCAAUCAUCGAGCGAUAAACCUGCUGAUCAAAAUCUUUACCAUUUUCAUCAGUGUAGAGGUGGCCGUUGGUAGGAAACAGAAUCUUGGCGCCUUUGCAUUCAUGCAUGUUGAAUUUCAUCAAAAUGUCCUUGAGGUAUUUCUCGUGUGAUAUGAAGAUGCCAUUGCAUUGUUGGAGAAUUUGAAGACCUAAGAAGAAUUUCAGCUCCCCCAUCAUAGACAUCUGAUAUUCUUCACUCAUCAUGUAAGCAAAUUCAUCACUGUAACGUUUGUGAGUACAACAAAAGAUAAUGUCGUCGACAUAUAUUUGGCACACAAAUAGUUCAUUGUCAUAAGAUUUUGUGAAAAUAGUUGGAUCGAGUGAACGAGGCUUGAAGCCUUUCUUCAUGAGGAAUUCCUUCAAUGUGUCAUACCACGCCUGAGGUGCUUGCUUGAGUCCAUAGAGUGCCUUGGGCUACAAGUCGUGCCUUAUUCCUCACCACUUGACCAUCCUCAUCUUGCUUGUUUCGGAAAAACCACUUGGUGUCGAUGAUAUUGUGCUAGCGAGGAUGAUGAGUUCCCACACGUCAUUUAGCUUGAAUUGAAGAAGUUCAUCUUGCAUGGCUUGAAUCCACUCAGGUUCCAUGAGAGCUUCAACAACUUUUGAGGGUUCUGUGAUAAAAAAAAAGAGAAUUGCCCACAAAAUUUAACUAAAUGUGAAGCUUUUGAGCGAGUGAGAGGACCUGGCGCAUUGAUGUCAUCAAGGAUUUUUGUCAAGUUCUACUUCAUUUGCAAUCCUUGAAUGAGCUGGUUGAGGAUUUUGUCUGGGCUAAGGAAUUUGAUCUGGAGCAAUUUCCUCAAGUGCACCUUCCUGAAUUUCAUCAGUGUUGGGGACGAUUUCUUCAUCAAUUUCCUCAGUAGGAACAAUGUCUUCAGUAGCUUUGAACUUGAUAGCUUCCUCAGGAGAUAAUUUGUCUGGCACAGGAGGCAAUUUCUCCCUUUGCGAGCCAUUAGUUUUAUCGAACCGCACAUCUAUAGUUUCAACAACCUUGUUGUGAUAGGUGUUCAAGACUCUGUAGGUGUGCGAGUCCUUUCCGUAACCAAGCAUAAAACCCUCAUGUGCUUUAGGUGCAAAUUUUGAGCUAUGGUGAGGAUCUCUAAUCCAGCAUUUUGCACCGAAGACUUUGAAAUCGUUUACAUUGGGUUUCUUGUCAGUGAGGAGUUCAUAGGAGGUUUUCUUGAGGAAUUUGUGAAGAUAUACCCUGUUGAUGAUGUGGCAAGCAGUGUUAAUUGCUUUAGUCCAGAAGCGACGAGGAGUCUGAUAUUCUUCAAGCAUAGUUCAUGCCAUUUCAACCAGAGUCCUGGUCUUGCGUUCAACGAAACCAUUCUGUUGAGGAGUAUAAGGAGCAGAUAAUUCAUGAGUAAUACCAAAUUCAUCAAGAUAAUUAUCAAGACCAGUAUUUUUGAAUUCUUUCCCGUUGUCACUCCUGAUGUGUUUGAUCUUGACGCUGAAGUUCGUCGAGGCCCUUGUGGAAAAUCCUUUGAAGACUUCCUGCACUUCAGUUUUAUACACAAUGAUAUGUACCAAAGUAUAUCGAGAGUAGUCAUCAACGAUGGCAAAGCCAUAUAAGGAUGUUGCAUUGGUUAGAGGAGCAUAAUGAGUAGGUCCAAAUAGAUCCAUGUGAAGCAAUUCAAACAGACGAGUAGUAGUCAUGAUAGUCUUCGAGGGGUGUUUGGAUGUGGUCAUUUUUCCAGACUCACAAGCACCGCAGAGGUGGUCCUUGAGGAAUUUGACUAAUUCGAUGCCAAUGACAUGCUUCUUCUUUGCCAGCGUGUGCAAAUUCCUCAUGCCUGCAUGACCAAGUCUUCGAUGCCAUAGCCAGCCUUCUGAGGUUUUUGCUAGUAAGCAUGUGGCUGGUUGAGGACCUGUGGAAAAAUCAACAAUUUACAAAUCUCCUCUCCUAAAGCCUUCGAAGACUUUGGACCUGUCAGAUUCCAUGAUGACUACACAUCUAUAUUUUUUCAAAGAUAACAAAGCAUUGAGACUGACAUGAGGUUAAACCCAAGGGAUUCGACAAGCAUAACUUUUUCCAUGUGCCUGUCCUUGGAAAUAGCCACUUUGCCAAGUCCCAAUACCUUGCUUUUACCUUUUUCAGCAUAAGUGAUUUGCUUUAGUGGUGAUGGAGUCAGUGGCAUAUUCACCAGCAAGCUUUUAUCACCAGUCAUGUGGUUUGUGCAACCACUCACAAGAACCCACUCAGUAUUCUUGGGUUUGUCAUCCUACAGAUGAAUUAGUACAGCUUACCAUCUCAUAUGCUUCAGACUUGAAGAAUAUGAUUUCAAUUUCAUCAGAUAGGAAUUUCAUCAUAAACAGAAAUUUUGAGGACAUGUGAAAUGUUAUCAUUUCAUCAGUUUUAGCUUGCGUCCAAUGAAACAUUUUCCUCGGGUCUCCAGCAAAUUCUUCAGAUGAUGAUUUUCAUCUAGAGACCUGACCUGCAGAAGUGAUUAGUUCAAUUUCUUCACCACCCACAUCUGAAGGGGUGGCAAGGAGUUCAUCAUCCUGCGUGCACCAGAUGAGAAAGGGGGCAUUAAAGCUAAUGCACUUCGUUUCAUAGUAGGGGGUUAGAGUACUCAAAUGAAUAGGAGAGAAGUUCUUUGAGGAUUUAUGAACAUAAUGAUUUGAGGAAUAAUGCUCAUAUUCAUAUCCCUUGUAAUUUCCCUGCAUAUCAGAAGCAUUAGCACGAAUACUAGCAUAGUGUUGACCAGUUGAGGAUUUUGAUCCUCUUGAAGACUUUGGUGAACCUGAGGAAUUUGAUGUGGGGUUCAGGUUCUUCACACGUGGUGUCAUGAGGACAUUCACCUGAAGAUUUUCCAAGCAACUUUUGGGGACCCAGAUUUUCCUCAGGGGUCGUCCAUUCGUGCAGUUAGUUCCAACAUAUCGAGCAAAUACUUCACCAGUCUGAUUUUUGAACAGUUUAUAGUUGGAGUCAAAUGACUCAUCUGAGGAAUAAGAUAAUUCACACGCAAAGCCUGUUAGAGUAGACGGAUCAAGAGUAGGUCCUUUAGGAGCAACCCGUGAGCUUUUGGGGUACUGCUCAGGUUUCCAGUAUGAUCCAUCAGCAUUCAACUUCCUCUCGAAGGCUAUUCCUUCUUUCCUCGGGUUCAUGUUCAAAAUCUACUUUUUGAGCACAUCGCAAAGGGUUUGAUGCCCUUUGAGACUUUUGUACAUGUCUGUCACAUACAAUUCCUUCAGCCCUGCAUUUUCGUGAGUAGCAUUUGUGGUUUCCUCAAGUGAAGAACUUGAUACCACAGGAGCAGUUGAAGAAUUUGUAGCGAUAGAAGCAUUUCAUGAUUCUGGUGAAGAAUUAGCAGUUUCACGUUCAAUGCAUUUGAGGCAUGGUGGAGUGAAUUCAACCUGAGCAGCAUUGAUCUGUUGAGCAAGCAAUGAAUCAUUUUCCAUUCGAAGAUCGUCGUGAGACAUCUUCAACUUCUCAAGAUCAAGUUUCCUUAGAAGAAAUUCAUAGGAAAGUUUCUCAUGACUAGCCAAGAGUGUGCCAUAACGGUCUUGAAGACUAUCAAAUCUAGACUGAAGACUUUUCACAUCUUCAGUGAGGACUUGAGUUUUAUUCAUUUCAUCAUUCAACAGAUCAUCGCUUCCGUCUAACAGCUUUUGAAGCUUUUCAAUGGACUUUGUUGUUUAGUUGCAAUGUUGGAAAGUUUACUGUGACUGGGUUUUUUUAUAAUCAUCAGGUUCAUAGUCACUUGAGUCAGAAGAGGAAGUGUCAUUCGGUACCUUUGAACCUUUUGCCAUGAAGCAAUAGGUUUGAGCAAAGUCAUCAGCAUAGUCAUUAGUGUAGAUAGCGUUGUCAUUUUCUUCACGGUUGAAGAUUGGCUUGUUGACGAAUGUGGUAGCUAGUGCAAGACUUGCCACUCCAAACUCUGAAUCAUCUUCAGAACCUUCCUCUUCAUCACAUUCCUCGGAUUCUUCCCCAAAAUCCAUUUCGUUGCCAAUGAGUGCCCGAGCUUUUCUGAAACUAGUCUUCUUGUGUGACGAGGACUUUGAGGAUGAGGAUUUUGAAGAUUUCUUCUUUUUCUUCGAGUCAUCAGAACUUUCAUCCUUGUAUUUCUUCUUCUUUGAUUCCUUCACCCAGUGAGGACAAUCACCAAUAUAGUGACCAGAUUUCUUGCAUUUGUGACCGUUUUUUUCUUGUAGUCCUCAAAUGAAGAUUCUGAUUUCCUCAUAUCUCUCCUUGAAGAUUUACCAAACUGGCCAUGCCUUGUAAACUUCUGGAAUUUUCUCACGAGCAUUGCAAGCUCCUGUCCAAGUUCUUCAGGAUCACCAAUGUUGCAAUCUGAGUCUUCUUCUUCAGAUGAGGAAAUUGCUUUGGCCUUCAGCGCACGAGGUCUUGAGUAGCUUGGUCCAUACAGAUCUCUCUUUUCUUCCUGUUGGAAUUCAUGAGUAUUGAGUCUUUCAAGUAUACAGCAGGAUCAAGCAUCUUAUAGUCUCAUCUUUCUUGAAUCAUCAAAACCAGUGUAUCAAAUGAUGGAUCAAGAGAUCUUAGCAGUUUCUUCACAACUUCAUGGUCAGUGAUGUCUCGAGCUCUGAGUGCUUGCAGUUUAUUUGAGAUGUCAGUGAGGCGAUCAAAGGUAUCUUGGCAGCUUUCAUUGUCAAGCCUCUUGAAGCGAUUGCGAAGAACAUCAACACGAGAGUCACGCUGAGUUGAAAUUCCUUCGUUGACUUUGGAUAGCCUAUCCCAGAUAAGCUUAGUUGUGCCCAAAGCACUCACUCUGCCAUACUAACCUUUGCUCAGAUGGCCACCGAUGAUAUUCUUCGCUUGAGAAUCAAGUUGCUUGAAUUUCUUCACAUCAGCGGCAGAUAUAGUAGCAGCGAUGGAGGGAAUACCAUCUUCCACAAUGUACCAGAGAUCAUUGUCAAUAGCCUGAAGAUGCAACUGCAUAUUGGUCUUCCAGUAGGGAAAGUCCUUUCCUUUGAAGGUAGGACAUCCUGCAGUAACCUUGAUCAUACAUGCGGUCGACAUAACUAAACUCCACGUGGUUAAACCAAAAUCACACAGAACAAAAUCACACAUAACAAGGGAGUACCUUGCUCUGAAACCAAUUGAAAGUGUGUUAUAUCGACUAGAGGGGGGUGAAUAGGCAAUUUUUAGAAUUUCAUCGCUGAGGAAACUACUUGUGAGGAAAUUCCUCAAUGAUGAAUUAUGUGCAGCGGAAAUAGCGCAAGAUCAGAAGUGCAAAGACUACUACAGCAGAUUACUUGAUGAAGAUUAUGAGAAUCGGUUUGCACAGUAUGCAGGUAAACAGAACGCAGGUGAAGAUUAAAUCGAAUGAAGAAUUUGAGGUUGAGGAAAUUCAGAGAAAGUCUUGAGACAAAUUCUUCAAACAGCAGAGAUGACAGUCUUCAACAUACAAUUUUGAGGAAAUGAAGGAGUUGAAGAAAUAGAACCCGUAUCACGAUGAAGACAGUUGUUGAUGACCCAGUUCCAACUGUUGUGAUAGUUGUACGUCUGGUUUGGAGCGGCUUGGUAUUGAAACCAAAGGACACACGGUCCCAGGACACACAUUCCCUACCGUAAUCUCCUUGAGCUAAGGACACACAGUCCUCGCCCAACACUCGUGGUAAGUCUUCAGGGCAAACUUCCAAACCCUCACAAACUCGGUCACCCGGCAAUCCAUAAUUGACUACUAGAUGAUCUAGACCAUGAGGCCUAACCGUCUGGAGGAUGCACAGUCCUCAAAGGUAAAAGGCGUCAGUUCCACACAGGAACAAAAUCUUCAGUGAUGCUCAAUCACUUGGUUUUGGUUUGGGGUUCGGUGUUUGGGGUAUUUCCCCACUUCAUGAUUUUCUCUCGAAGACUCUGAGGAAUUUGGGUUGCUCUAAAUGACAAGUGUCAGUUUCUCUCGGAGCAGCCAACCAACUAGUGGUUGUCGGGGCGGCUAUUUAUAGCUUGUGAGCAUCCUGACAUGAUUUGACAUAAAUGCCCUUAACUAUUCUGACCAUUGGGUGGAUAAGAUCAGUGAGGUGGCGCAUGUCACGGCAACGGUCGAACUUUCAAUUGUGAAAGUCCUGAUGUCUCUCAUAUUCCUCACUUGAGGCUUUGGUAGGUUUAGGCUUGGGUUGAGCAUCAUGAGGAAAUUCAUUAUGUAGUAUUACUUCGACCCCCUUUAAGAGCACGGUAUUCUGAUGACUCAAGAGUAAAGAAAACGAAACAGGAGAGUAAAUCUUCACGCUUCAAAGUCUUUAGACUGUUUUUCUUCAGGACACACCUAAUUCCUCAUCUUCAAUAUCUUUAUGAGGAAUAUCAAUUUCAUUGCAAUUUUUCGCGAUCAAAGUCUUCAAGUUAAGACCAAAUUCUUUAGCUGAAGACAUUCAUUUGUAGGGGUCGAUAUUCAUCGUAUAACUCAAACUCCUCAGCGACUUAUAGAGCGUGUGUACACUUCUAAACACAUUAGUUCCUUAACCUAUAAGUCUUCAAACCACAAAAAUUACUAAGGGCACUAGAUGCACUUAAACUUCCGCUUAGCGUUCUUCAAAGGUAUGAAGAUGCUCUACCCCUUGCUCGUUGCUAGCAUCUCCUAGAUUGAUCUUGGUGUUUCGUAGGAUUUUUUUUUUUGAAUUUCUCUCUCGAGCCCCAACAGUGGUAUCAGAGCUAGGUCUAUGCGUAGGUUCUAUGCACGAGUAGAACACAAAAGUUGUGGGCGAUAAUUUUUUCAAUUGCUUGACGUUACUAGUCCAAUCUUUUUUUGGUUGUAUUGUGGGAUGAAGCGGCCCGAGCCGACUUUACACGUACGUUUACAUGAGUCUGGUUCCACCGCCUGACAUGCACUUGUUGCAUAAGGUGGCUAGCGGGUGUCUGUCUCUCCCACCGUAGUCGAAUCGGAUUCGAUGAAAAGGGUCCUUUUGAAGGAUAAAUAGCAUUGGCAUAUCAACGUUGUGGCUGUCACGUAGGUAAGAAGCGUUCUUGCUAGAAACCCAAAUCAGCCACGUAAAACUUGCAACAACAAUUAGAGGACGUCUAACUUGUCUUUGCAAGGUAUGCUAUGUGAUGUGAUAUGGCCAAAAGGAUGUGAUGAAAUAUAUGUGAUGUAUGAGAUUGAUCAUGUUCUUGUAAUAGGAAUCACGACAACCGGCAGGAGCCAUAGGACUUGUCUUAAAUUUUUGUAUGACCUGCGUGUCAAUCUAAAUAUCGCCAUAGGAUUAAUUUACUUUAUUGCUAACCGUUAGCCAUAGUAGUAGAAGUAAUAGUUGGCGAGACAACUUCAUGGAGACACGAUGAUGGAGAUCAUGGCGUCGUGCCCAUGACGGUGGUGAUCAUGCCGCGCCCGAAGAUGGAGAUCAAAGGCGUAAGAUGAUAAUGGCCAUAUCAUGUCACUAUAUGAUCUCCAUGUGAUGUUUAUCAUGUUUUUCAUCUUAUUGCUUAGAAUGAUGGUAGCAAAGAUAACAUGAUCCCUCAUUAAAUUUCGAGAUAAGUAUUCCCCUAAGUAUGCACUGUUGCGAAGGAUCGUUGUCUCGAAGCACCACGUGAUGAUUGGGUGUGAUAGAUUCUAACGUUAGCAUACAAUGGGUGUAAGCCAGAUUUACACACGCGAAAACACUUAGGUUGACUCGACGAGCCUAGCAUGUACACACAUACGAGAGACCAAAAGGUCGAACAUGAGUCGUAUGGAUGAUACGAUCAACAUGGAGAUGUUCACCAUUGAUGACUAGUCCGUCUCACGUGAUGAUCAGACACGGGCUAAUCGACAUGGAUCAUGUAUCACUUGGAUGACUGGAGGGAUGUCGAUCUAAGUGGGAGUUCAUUAAAUAAUUUCAUUAGAUGGACUUAAUUAUCAUGAACUUUGUCUAAAAAUGUCUUUACAAUAUUGUAGAUCCAAUGGCCAACGCUCAUGUCAACCUCAAUUUCAAUGUGUUCCUAGAGAAAACCAAGCUGAAAGACGAUGGUAGCAACUAUGCGGACUGGGCUCGUAAUUUAAAGCUCAUCCUAAUUGCUUCCAAGAAGGCACAUGUCCUUGAUGCACCGCCAGGUGACCCUCCCAUUCCCGCGGUAGCCCAGGAUGUGCCGAAUGCCUGGCAGGCGCGAAGUGAUGACUACUCUCUGGUUCAGUGUGGCAUGCUUUACAGUUUAGAACCGGGGCUCCAAAAGCGUUUUGAGAAACAUGGAGCAUAUGAGAUGUUCCAAGAGAUGAAAAUGGUUUUCCAAGCUCAUGCCCGGGUCAAGAGAUAUGAGGUCUCCGACAAGUUCUUCAGUUGUAAGAUGGAGGAAAAAGUUUUGUAAGUGAGCACAUACUCAAAAUGUCUGGGUUGCACAGCCGUCUGUCUCAGUUGGAAGUUAAUCUUCCAGAUGACGUGGUUAUUGACAGAAUCCUCCAGUCACUUCCACCUAGCUACAAGAGCUUCGUGAUGAAUUAUAGCAUGGAAGGGAUGGAAAAGACCAUUCUCGAGUUAUAUUCAAUGAUGAGAUCAACGGAGGUGGAAAAAAAGAAGGAACAUCAAGUGUUGAUGGUGAAUAAGACAACCAGUUUCAAGAAAGGCAAGGGUAAAAAGAACUUCAAGAAGGAUGGCAAAGAAGUUGUCGCGCCCGGUAAAUCAGUUGCCGGGAAGAAGAAGCACAAGAAUGGACCCAAGCCUGAGACUGAGUGUUACUAUUGCAAGGAACCGGACACUGGAAGUGGAACUGCCCCAAGUACUUAGCGGAUAAGAAGGCCGGCAACAUCAAAGGUAUAUAUGAUAUACAUGUUUAUUGAUGUGUACCUUACCAGCGCUCGUAGUAGCUCCUGGGUAUUCGAUAACGGUCAUGUUGCUCACAUUUGCAACUCAAAACAGGAACUCCAGAAUAAGCAGAGACUCGCAAAGGAUGAGGUGACGAUGCGUGUUGGGAAUGGUUCCAAGGUCGAUGUGAUCGUAGUCGGCACGCUACCUCUACAUCUACCUUCGGGAUUAGUUUUAAACCUUCAUAAUUGUUAUUUAUUACCAGCUUUGAGCUUGAACAUUGUAUCUGGAUCUCGUUUAAUGUGAGAUGGCUACUCAUUUAAAUCUGAGAAUAAUGGUUGUUCUAUUUAUAUGAGUGAUAUGUUUUAUGGUCAUGCCCCGCUGGUCAAUGGUUUAUUCUUAAUGAAUCUCGAACGUGAUGUUACACAUAUUCAUAGUGUAAGUACUAAAAGAUGUAAGGUUGAUAAUCAUAGUCCCACAUACUUGUGGCAUUGCCGCCUUGGUCAUAUCGACGUCAAACGCAUGAAGAAACUCCAUGAUGGUGGACUUUUGGGGUCUCUUGAUUAUGAAUCAUUUAACACGUGCGAGUCGUGCCUCAUGGGCAAGAUGACUAAGACUCCGUUCUCUAAAACAAUGGAGAGAGCAACAAACUUAUUGGAAAUAAUACAUACCGAUGUAUGCGGUCCAAUGAGCGUUGAGGCUCGUGGUGGCUAUCGUUAUGUUCUCACCCUCACUGAUGACUCGAGCACAUAUGGGUAUGUCUACUUAAUGAAACAUAAGUCUGAAACCUUUGAAAUGUUCAAAGAAUUUCAGAGUGAGGUUGAGAAUCAACGUGACAAGAAAAUAAAAUUCCUACGAUCUGAUUAUGGAGGAGAAUAUUUGAGUCACGAGUUUGGCACGCACUUAAGAAAAUGUGGAAUUGUUUCACAACUCACGCCACCUGGAACACCUCAGCGUAAUGGUGUGUCCAAACGUCGUAAUCGCACUCUAUUGGAUAUGGUGCGAUCUAUGAUGUCUCUUACUGAUUUACCGCUAUCAUUUUGGGGGGUAUGCAUUGGAAACUGCCGCAGACACUUUAAAUAGGGCACCGUCUAAAUCCGUUGAGACGACGUCGUAUGAAUUAUGGUUUGGGAAGAAACCUAAGCUGUCGUUUCUUAAAGUUUGGGGCUGCGAUGCUUAAGUGAAGAAACUUCAACCUAGGAAGCUCAAACCCAAAGCGUAAAAAUGCGUCUUCAUAGGAUACCCCAAAGAAACUAUUGGGUAUACCUUCUAUCUUAGAUCCGAGGGCAAAGUUUUUUGUUGCCAAGAACGGAUCCUUUCUAGAGAAAGAGUUUCUCUCGAAAGAAGUAAGUGGAGGAAAAUAGAACUUGAUGAGGUAAUUGAAACCCCUCUCGAACCGGAAAGUAGCGCGGCGCGGGAAAAUGUUCCCGUAAUGCCUGCACCGACUAGAGAGGAAGUUAAUGCUGAUGAUCAUGAAACUUCGGAUCAAGUUGCUAUUGAACCUCGAAGGUCCACAAGGAUACGUUCCGCACAAGAGUGGUACAACAACCCAGUCCUGGAAAUCAUGUUGUUAGACAACGGUGAACCUUUGAAUUAUGAAGAAGCGAUGGCGGGCCCGGAUUCCAACAAAUGGCUUGAAGCCAUGAAAUCCGAGAUAGGAUCCAUGUAUGAGAACAAAGUAUGGACUUUGGUGGACUUUCCCGAUGAUCGGCGAGCCAUAGAAAAUAAAUGGAUCUUUAAGAAGAAGACUGACGCGGAUGGUAAUGUGACCAUCUAUAAGGCUCGGCUUGUCGCUAACGAUUAUCGACAAGUUCAAGGAGUUGACUACGAUGAGACUUUCUCACCCGUAGCGAUGCUGAAGUCCGUCCGAAUCAUGUUAGCAAUUGCCGCAUUUUAUGAUUAUGAGGUCUGGCAAAUGGACGUCAAAACGGCAUUCCUUAACGAUUUCCUUAAGGAAGAAUUGUAUAUGAUGCAGCCGGAAGGUUUUGCCGAUCCUAAAGAAUGCUGACAAGGUAUGCAAGCUCCAGCGCUCAAUCUAUGGGCUGGUGCAAGCAUCUCAGAGUUGGGACAUUCGCUUUAAUCAGGUGAUUAAAGCGUUUGGGUUUAUGCAGACUUAUAGAGAAGCCUGCAUUUACAAGAAAGUGAGUGAGAGCUCUGUAGCAUUUCUCAUUUUAUAUGUGGACGACAUAUUGUUGAUGGGAAAUGAUAUGGAACUUUUGUAAAGCAUAAAGUCCUACUUGAAUAAGUGUUUUUCAAUGAAGGAUCUUGGAGAAGCUGCUUACAUAUUAGGCAUCAAGAUCUAUAGAGAUAGAUCAAAACGCCUCAUUGGUCUUUCACAGAGCACAUAACUUCAAAAGACAUUGAAGAAGUUCAAUAUGUACAAGUCUAAGAAGGGGUUCUUGCAUGUAUUGCAAGGUAUGAGAUUGAGUAAGACUCAAUGCCCGACCAUGGCAGAAGAUAGAGAAAAGAUGAGUACCAUCCCCUAUGCUUUAGCCAUAGGCUCUAUUAUGUAUGACAUGCUGUUUAUGAGACGUGAUGUGAACCUUGUCAUAAGUUUGGUAGGGAGGUACCAAAGUGAUCCCGGUAUGGAACACUGGACAACGGUCAAGAAUAUCCUUAAGUACCUGAAAAGGACUAAAGAUAUGUUUCUCGUUUAUCGAGGUGCCGAAGAGCUCGUCGUAAAGGGUUACGCCGAUGUUAGCUUCGACACAGAUCCGGAUGACUCCAAAUCACAAACGAGAUACAUGUAUGUUUUGAAUGGUGGGGCAGUCAGCUGGUGCAGCUGAAAGCAAAGCGUCGUGGUGGCAUCUGCAUGUGAAGCGGAGUACAUAGAUGCUUCGGAAGCAACCCACGAAGGGAUCUGGAUGAAGGAGUUCAUCACCGACCUAGGAGUGAUUCCCAAUGCGUCGGGUCCGAUGACUCGCUUGUGUGACAACACUGGAGUUGUUGCCAUAGCCAAGGAGCCCAGGUUUCCCAGGAAGACCAAGCACAUCAAGCGCCGCUUCAACUCCAUCCAUGAUUACAUUCAGGAAGGGGACAUAGAUAUUUGUAAAGUACAUACGGAUCUGAAUUUCACAGAUUCGUUGACUAAACCUCUUCCACGAGCGAAACAUGAUAAACACCAGAACUCUAUGGGUGCUCGUUUCAUCACAAUGUAACUUGAUUAUUGACUCUAGUGCAAGUGGGAGACUGUUGGAAAUAUGUCCUAGAGGCAAUAAUAAAGUGGUUAUUAUUAUAUUUCCUUGUUCAUGAUAAUUGUCUAUUGUUUAUGCUAUAAUUGUAUUAACCGGAAACAGUAAUACAUGUGUGAAUAUAUAGACCACACCAAGUCCCUAGUGAGCCUCUAGUUGACUACCUUGUUGAUCAAUAGAUGGUCAUGGUUUCCUAAUCAUGGACAUUGGAUGUCGUUGAUAACGGGAUCACAUCAUUAGGAGAAUGAUGUGAUGGACAAGACCCAGUACUAAGCAUAGCGCAAGAUCGUGAAGUUCGUUUGCUAAUGCUUUUCUAAUAUCAAGUAUCAUUUCCUUAGACAAUGAGAUUGUGCAACUCCCGUAUACCGUAGGAAUACUUUGGGUGCAUCAAACGUUACAACGUAACUGGGUGAUUAUAAAGGUGCACUACAGGUAUCUUUAAAAGUGUGUGUUGGGUUGGCACGAAUCGAGACUGGGAUUUGUCACUCCAUAUGACGGAGAUGUAUCUGUGGGCCCACUCGGUAAUACAUCAUCCUAUUGAGCUCAAUGUGAUUAAGGAGUUAGUCACGGUAUCAUGUGUUACGGAACAAGAAAAGAGACUUGCCGGUAACGAGAUUGAACAAGGUAUGGGGAUACUGACGAUCGAAUCUCGGGCCAGCUAUAUAUCGAUAGACAAAGGGAAUUGCAUGCAGGAUUGAUUGAAUCCCCGACAUCGUGGUUCAUCCGAUGAGAUCAUCGUGGAACAUGCGAGAGCCAACAUGGAUAUCCAGAUCCCGUUGUUGGUUAUUGACUAGAGAGGUGUCUCGGUCAUGUCUGCAUGGUUCCUGAACCCGUAAGGUCUACACACUUAAGGUUCGAUGACACUAGAGUUGUAAUGAGAAUAGUAUGUGGUUACUGAAAGUUGUUCAGAGUCUUGGAUGAGAUCCCGGACGUCACGAGGAGCUUCGAAUGGUCCGGAUAUAUAUAUAUAUAUAGGACACCUUUUCCGUAUUCCCAGGAAUACAUACUCCCACCCUCUAACCGAUAAGGCAUGGGUACGAUCAGUUAGAUCUAACUGAUGGCUUCAUUUUUUACAAGAAAUAAUAUAUUUUUGUUUUUAACCACUGCAUGCAUAACAAACCAGCCGGAGACGAUUAGUAAAAACGGUCGGAGACGGCCAAUCACUCUUUUCUGGUUGGUCAUAUCAAUUUUAUACUAUUGCAUUCCGUUUGAAGUAUAUUAUACACCGUACCAUUAUUUCAAGAACACACAUACUCAUAUAGUGACUCUUUUUAGGAUGAUAUACUUCCUAUGUUUUGAAGGACCAUAUACUGCAUUUUGAAUGAGUAUAUACUACACUUUUUAUGAGUACAUACCUGUUUGUGGGAUUAUAUACUGCCCAUAUUUUGAAGAGAUAUAUAUUAAUGAGUAUAUGUUCAAGUACAUAUACUACCUCAAUGUGGAAUGUCUCCAUGACUCUCUGAAGAAGAUGCGUAUUUUUAUGAAGUGGUCUAUAGUUUAUUAGCAUGUGCGUAUUAAAAUUUUAGGACAAGAUAUACUAAACUUUCACAAUGUAGCAUAUGUUACUUUUUCAUGAUGAAUCAUAUACCAUUUUGUAUAGUAUGUAUGUAUGCCUUUUUUAGGGGAAGUAUGUACCAUUUUUUCAGAAGAAGUAUAUACCAAUCGAUUGCAAGUUUUUGUUGGUAACUUACCAAGCUAGCUGCCUUUCCAGCACAUUGGGAUCCUAAGCNNNNNNNNNNNNNNNNNNNNNNNNNNNNNNNNNNNNNNNNNNNNNNNNNNNNNNNNNNNNNNNNNNNNNNNNNNNNNNNNNNNNNNNNNNNNNNNNNNNNACGUAAGGCAGAGUUGGGUUUUGGGGGUUGAUAGUGGAAAAGUCGACAGAGAAGGAUCAGCAUAUCCUUGUUUAAAUAGGUCCACUAGACCUUAGCUACUUAAUUUCAUGGUAUUUAGCACGGACGAUAGAAGAUUGGAAUGAUGGUAUCAAUGUGCCGCAUUGAAAUGAGAGUGGCUAUAUCGCUAUCAAUCAAGGUGGGACAGAUCAGCCAUCUCCACAGAUUGCUAGUUUGCUGAAAACAAUCCAGCUUUUGCCAAAAGAAAGCCAAACUCUCAUCCAGAUGCAUCUCGAUUCACAUUUCUAUAUGAUAAUAUGCACGACCGAUUCUCGUAUCUGCUGAUACAAGAGAUUCUUUCAAAAGAUAACCCUUACCCCUAACCCCUGGGUGGGCGAAAGAUGGAGACAAUACUGCCGUUGAAGCGCAAGAGUGAGCAGCAGUCCGGUCAGCCCUUGCUUUCUCAACUUGAGCAGGAAACUUCCAACCAAAUAGGAGGGAGGGGCACUCUCAAAUAGGAAUGCAAACAUAAAACGCGUGCUCUUGAGUGUCAAUUCCUCUUCUGACCGAAGUGAAUAACAAACAUCCCUUCCAUCUGGACACUGAAUAAUGAGAGAAUCGUAGAAGUUAUCGGAAUCCGGGGCUAGAGUCUUUGGCUGAACAUCCACAGAUGAUCGAUUCCCUGCGCUAGCAAGUAUUGGAUUGGAGUGGGGGUUAGUUGGCUCACCAUAUGGUAUAGAUCGAUAGAUAUAUUUGAUACGUCCUAUAACAUGGAGAUGGAGAUAGCCAAGCCCCUUUCUCGAAAGGCAAACCCUCUUUAUCAUCCAACACAGGAUCUCCCUAUGGAAUACCACCAUUGUCUUUCUCCAUCUCACUCGUAUAUAUCGGUAUAAAUAGCUCAGCUCACGAAAUAGAGCGAGCAAGAGCUCGAACUUGGUAGGAAAGUUCGGAUAAGUCGACUCGACUCCUUAGUGCAGCGUACACUUGCUUCAGCAAAACGAGGCUCAUCCAUUUGUUUUGAUCCGAAUCACACUCUAGACCAGCUCUUCUUAUAGAGAAGGAACUCCACUUUGACAGUCAUACGAGAGGGAAGAGACUCAAAGUUGAUGAGAAUAGUCGAUUUGACCGGUAUCACGAAUAGCAGUUUUAGUAGAAAAGGGCGUUGAUGAUUGAAAGGAUUUCUCCUCGAACCACUAGUAACUAUGUCAGCUUUUGUCAUUCUGAUGAUACUGAAUCGGAUCAAUAUUUGGAAUAACAAUAUCUGAUCUAUCAAAUCGAUUCAUCAUCGAGAAUGGAAUAGUAUAACAUAGGAAUUUGAUCCAAACAAACUCCGAAUUGGGAUUUCUUAUUGGAUCAGGAAUCCCAUUGCAUUUUUCAUCCUUUUCCAUUUUUCUUCUUUCAGGCAGUUUUGGCUCGCAAUAAAGCUAGGGUCCUGAUCGAGCAAGACUACGUCCUAUCUAUCUACCUCUCCAAACACAAUAUCUUGAGUACCUAUGAUGGUGACUACAUCUGCUGGCAUGUGAUGUUUGGACAUAGAAUCGAGUCCUUGUGAAUGGGCAAAGCCAGGUGCUCUUAUUUUACAACGGUAGGGACGAUUACUCCCAUUACUGACAAGAAAGACACCAAAUUCACCUUUAGGUGCUUCAACUGCGGUAUAGGUAGAAGGAGCUGGUACGGAAAAACCUUCUGUAUAAAGUUCGAAAUGGUGAAUUGAGGUAGAGUAGACCGAUGAUCCGGUAGUCAUUUGGCCGGCUAUGGAAAGAAAAAGCUUGCAUCUGCUCCCCCUAAACUAUAACGGGUCCCAUCUCUCUCCAAACCUAACGUGGUAGUUUCCCAUCAUAAGGCUUUCCAUCUAUAGAUUGAGCCAUUACCCACCAAGGAUCCCAUUCGUUCAGAACUCAGUCGACUGCUUCUAUAGAUAAGGCGGAACGUCCUUAGUUCAGCAUUAUAGCACAUAGUCUCCGACGCUACUACAGCGCUUCGCUAACUCGAAGCGCCUCGCUAUGAGAAUGACGCGUCGCUAACGCUCGGCUAAGUCGUCGAACCCUCGCGCUGACCAUUCGCUUUCUCAGUAGCGAAAGCGCUUCUCUUUUCCCCUUAACUUCAUAAAGUAUUUGGAAAGAAAAGAAAGAGAUUCUUGGUUUUAUUGCUCCCGCUUCCUCAUCUGCGCUCGUCAAGCCAACUUUGCUUUUUGGGAGGCGAAAGAGGGGUUGAAGCGGACAUGUCGAAAUGACAGCAUCGAAGAUAUCUAUAUACACAGGAACGCUUAUUCCGGACUGCGUUCCGGAAAAAGUAGCCUACUUGACAGAAAGGGCGGGCACUCUCGGCUCGGAGGUAGGCACUCUCGUCUUUCAACCCCACCGUCACUUUGAAUUUAGUGGGGCACUGUUUACUUACAGCCUCUACGAGUUGCAAGUGAAUGGGGCCGGUGCGUGGUGAACGGAAGGGUUCAUCAAGCCAUUUCUCGCCUUAACCCCUAAACUAAAUAGGAAGAGGGGUACUUGACUAAUAGGGGGCAAUUGCAUUGCACCUGACUGUGAGGGACCUCUUGAUACCUUAUGUUCACUUCCUAACUAGUAGCCGGUUUCCUGUCGCGGAAGCCUUUUCCCAGUGCGCGGAGCCCCAAUGAGGAAGGUGUUAGUGCUUUCUCAUGGGGUCAAUAAUGCUAAUCCCUCUUUUUGUGCCGGGAAGAAGAUAAGAAAAGGCGAAGCCUUCUCUUGGUUUCCCAACCUGUUGCUUCUAAAGGCUGCCCUCUCUCGGCUGGAUUUUGGUCCAGCCUACUGCGAGGAUCCCGUAUCCCGUACAUCGUCUUUCUCCCUCCUGGGUUCCCGUGGUUCCUAUGCCGCCGCGUUUCCCGGUCCUUUUCUUUUAGUGCUUCGACCCGAAGCGAUAGCUUGACGCGUUUUCCGUGGAUAAGAUGGCAGCGCUCCAGCUCACUAAAGAAUGGGACGGCAGUGGUCCGCCGGCAAGCUCGUUCUGAUCCUGGACGCAGUACAUUGGAAUCCUGAAGCACCACCACGAACGCUACCGCGCGUGCGCCUGCGGUGCGGUAAGGCACCACCCUGUUGUGCCAGCAGCCAACUCCGGCGUGUCAGCUUAGUUAUCCUCAUCAAGCCACAACCUUGAUGUCUAGCUUCCCAACUGGUAGACGGUUCCCUUUCCCCCGGAUCAAUGAAGAAGGGAGAAGUCAGUUGAUUCUUCCGAAGAACCGGAAGCGAAGCGCUAUGCCGGGGCGAGGGGACGGGAAAAGAAACUGCUCCGAAGAAAGAUAUUGGGGUUCCCAAUGCUUCUCCACGCCCAACGAGAUGCGCCAACCUCGGGAUGCUUUACUCCUAACCCCACGGCGGUUCCGAGACGGAGCUUAACCUGAGUCUCGGUUAAGAACGGCGAUGAUCUACGUUUCACACGGCGCACGAUUCCAUGGAUAGUUUCAUUCGAGAUCGUGAUGGAGGACAUAGCUUACGAUCAUCGGCUUUGAUCAUGCCACUAGGCAUUUGAUUAGGACAUUGCACAAUGAUCCGAACACUUUGUCGCAUCUCUUCGAUACGGAUACAGUAACGAUCAUAGCGAUCUCCUCUGGUACCUACUGGUACGUCAAGAUCCGAUUGGUCAUGAACAUCGUAAGGUGCUGCUCUUCGCGAAUCCCAGCAUACCCCAGGUUGGGAUGGGUAGGCCCACCACUUCACUUUUGCACUUUCACUUAGGCCCGGGCCAAGUCAGUGGGGGGACCCUGUCGGGCUCCUUCCCCCCCAAAACAAACUGUACGUGGGAGUUUCCCUUCAUACGGCUCGAAUCAUUCUCAGAUGCCCCGAGAGGCAUCUUUCCUUAUGAUCUGGUGGUUCACACGCGCGCAAACGAGCACCGGCCGCAACAGCAAGGAACUAUGACCAAUAGAGUCAGACACAGAGCGUCAUACUUCUUUAUCUUGUGAUGGUUGAGGAGUUUCUUUCUCAGAGGGUGCGGGACGCUUGCGGAGUCCGUGCCUUCCGUACCACCACAGGUCGUUCUUGGGCAGAUCCCGCUCCUAAACAUAAGGGAGGGAUAGGGGGAAAGGGGCCCUAAAAAUCAUAUAAAUAGGGUUGUAGAAAGACCACUUUCAUUCGACGUUCCGGGGCGCCCGAUUCGAUCGACGAAUUUGGCGAGCUGAUCCGCUUUGAUCCAGGAGAAAGCCCAGUCAGCCACCUUUUCGGUGCAGGUCACGUGACCUACAGCUCGGCCUUCGCUUUUUGAGACUUCCUCUACCCACAUCUCUAUGUGCCCGCAGCACUUUCAUAUGGAGAAAGAUGGGCUUACCAUGUUCCAUCAAUAGCACCUAACCUAUGCCGAUUUUGGCGGACCGUGCUCCACCCCGGUGAACUCAUGCGGUUCCGACGUGCCCAGAGGCCAGAGGCGAAUCCGUUCACGGUCCGUAGGACCAACACCAUUCGAAGGUUGAUGGCCCGCCCCGCCUAGAAUAGGAAUCUUUGACUGGGCUUACACACAUUCGCUCACUUACGCUGUCCCCCCUCAGCUCACCCUAGCCCCGGGUACGUCGUCUCCAAGGCUUCACACAAAAUCUUCACUGACAACAUAUGCAUGCUUUUGUAGGGUCAGGCAGAACCGUUGUUGCCUGAUGGGAACUUCCCCCAUAUUGCUAUCAAUGUCUUCAUGUCGCACGACCUCUUAACAUUACACCACUGAAUCCCCAAUCCUUUGCUUGCUGUGCAGUGACAGUACCAAUAUCCACUAAUCGUUGUUUCCAGAUACGGUUGCCGGUUGACAUCUCUUCUAAUUCGUCGAUACGAGAAGCAAAUUGUUGUGUGGAGGAAUCAAUAUCUCGACAUAAGCCAAGAGGCAGAUCUUGUGCCACUCCACCAGGUCGUAUGAAACUGGCAUGCAUCCUGGCUCCCGGGACUCUUUCAUAGAAUUCCAACAAUUUCUCCCGCUCCUCAAAAGCCCAAAGGAACGGAGUUGAUGCUCCCACAUCCAUAGCAUGAGUAGUUGAAGCAAGUGAAUGAUUUGAAAUUCGAGUUAUUUCACAGAAUAACACUCUUAUAUAUUGAGCUCGUAAUGGUACCUCACAAUUCAAAAGUCUCUCUACGGCUGAAGAAUGAGCGUGUUCUUGGGCCAUCGUAGAAACAUAGAUAGGGUCAACGACGGAACGAACAACGAAACUUUACGACAGCUUUUUCGUACACGUUCACUUGCAUCACAUACACAAGUGCUCUCUGAACCGUGCAAUAAGGUCACCCAUAACACGGCUCUCCCACUGGAGUUACCUUAGCCCCGGGCCAUGCUAUUCCAUGAUAUUGGAAAAAGUUGACUAAUUAUUAUCAUCGUCUUGAAAGCUGGGCGCCUUUUGAAUAUGAGUGGGGCUCCUAGUCUAGGCGGCGCCCUCGUGGAGCCAAACCGAAGGAAGAGCAAAAGGGCGAGGCCACACCCGGCUUCGAAUAGGAGGGGGGCUUAGCUCUGGAUCCCGCCUGCUUGCAGAAAUGAAUGGAUCAGAAAGGGGGCUGGGUUCUAUUUCCGGGCCGGGCAGGAGGUGAAGGCCAGAAGAAGAAGAGAAGUGCGCCUUCCCGGUAAGGAAGAGGAUAAAAAGGUGCUGUCAUCUAUCUCGACCUGUUUCCCGAGGCGUUGGAAAUGAAGACCGGCUCAGAGAAUCACUGGCGUGCUUUCUCUCCCCCAUCGUUUCGCCAACAAAGAAGUCAUCCUUGACUUGACGAUUGACCAUUCCAUCCCUACCGAGCCGCCUCUUCGAAGUAUUUACCUCUGCCUUUCUUUUUUUAGAACAUACCCUUCAAAUCAAAAAGAAAAAAANAAGAAAGAAAAGUUCCUCGUCUGUGAUUUAAUCGGCCCUAAGGGAGUUUACUCGACCCAUUCUCCAGUCUCCCGCACUGCUCAAGUGUGCGACUCCGUAUGAGGACCUCCUUCCCUUUUGCUCUGCCCACUCUCCGUUCACACGGUUAUCAAAGCGGAGGAAGGGCGGGCAGCAGGUACCACGAGCCCUCUGUCCCACACAUCUAUCAAGAAGCAAGUGUAGUUCACCGGUUCCACCGAAUGCUCCUAUCUCUCGGCAAAGAUCGUGUGAGUGUGCAGUUAUGCUUCGGAUGCUUCGCCAUGGAAUAGAUCGACUCAGUUCCCCUUCUUUUCCGGUGCACUCGCUUUGUAUCUCCGACACACAAGGAAGGACGCGGUGGGAAGAAAGCUGCCCUAGCCUCUGUCCGGUCGAUCAUUCCGCUGGCAUCUUGCAUUCACGCCUCCGUUUGACUGCCGCUCGGGAAUGUAGUUGUAGAUACGUGAGUCUUAGUGGGUCGUUGGCUCCACCUCUUAUCUCCUUCUACGACAUGCUGUAGUCGUCGCCAUAUUCAAUAUGUCACUUAGUCAUAUCUGCCUCGCAGCGGGUCAGCACCUCCGAAAGGGGGGGACUUCAUUCAGUGACUCCGCGAUCGCCCUCUAAACGAUCAAAAUAAGGUAAAGCUUGAAGAUAAGUUUUGUACUCGAUUAAUUUCUCAGUCCCUCUAGUCGGGUGGGCGCCGGCCGGCCGGAUCCCCCUGAAAACCGUACGUGCGGGUCUCCCCGCAUGCGGCUCACGCCAUUUGAGGUGGCCCAGCCCAGCAUUCAUUCGCAAAUCCUGUAGUGAAAUUGAGACUGCUCGACCUCGGAAGCUAAUUCGCGUGUAGGCAGCGCUGUCUUAAUACCGUUGACUGUAUCUAUUCAUUGAUACAUUGGCUCGCUCCCCCCCUCUUUUUUCAAGAAUGAAUGAGCCGCUCGGACCUUCCAUUUCCGUCAAAUGACCCGGCUUCCCCUGGCUCUUCCACCGUCCGGGCUCCCUUUCCUCCCUAUGCUCCCCCGGCGCAGGCCCACCACGCUUCGCGCCUGCGGCGUUUUCGCCAGACGGUCUUUGCCAGUAGUGCCAUCCUCCCCGCAGGCUGUCUGUAUGGGUGGGUUGUCCCUUGCUGCUACGUUCUGUUAGGCGCUAUGAAUUACAGGAAAUUCAGUGGUUGACUUGGACAGCAGGCGGGUUACACGUUCCACUGUGCCGAGAUGUGAGGUGCAGGUGGUGAUGAUCACCCCGGGGUAUGCGCUAGCGCCCUUGACGGGCACUCCAGGACCCGCCUACGCUCGUGAAAACCCAGGUCGGUCCUCCGACCAGAUGUGUGGAUAACGAGGCCACCUUCACAACCUUCUCCCUUCUAUCUUUAUCCAAAGUCAGGUAGGGCGGUUCGCUUGAGUUGCUCAACCGUCCCUUUGCCCGGUGCUCAUGACGCGCUACGGAACCUCCACCGUGCUAGCGGCAUAGGAGCCUACUCAGCGUCAGCGGCUUCGUGCCGCACUGGAGUGAUCCAAUAUGUGGUUCCGCACGUUCCACCACUUCUCCGUUCAUUUCCAAUACUGAUCGUGAAACACCAUGAGCAGCAGGAUGUUGAGGUCCGGAAUUCGAAGUGAAAUUCUUGAUUUGCCCGUUCCUAGUCGUCAUGGGAAAGAAAUAAGAAAGAAAUAAGAAAGAGAUUAUUCCCCUAGAGCUUGUCCAGUACCACCAGUACUCAAAAUGCAUCUCCGCGCGUCUACCUGGCGCUUUUAUUAGCCGCCUUGCAUGCAAGCGAAGCGCUAUUGGCGGCAAUUAAUAGCUCACUGAGCGAUGAUUGAUGCAGUCAGUCAGUGCCCUCGAUUAUUCUAUUCCUGAUAGAAGGAUCAUGGCGCCCCGGAAGCAUUCCAUCCAGCAGCAGCAUCUCCUUCAACCACGCGAGGACAAAACUGAUGUUAGCUACAUUCGAGCGUUCACCGCACAGAGGCGAUCUCGAACACUACCUAUGAUAAUAAAUCCAAAGGAAAGGUCGACAAAAUGAUUCAAUCUGACUUUAUCGGUAUUCUGGAUUGAGUAAAAAAGGGAUAUAUGAAGUUCAAGGCCUUGCCAAAACCGUCAUGGCCCUAUUAUGUAUAGGCCGUACUAAGCCAAUAGCGAAUAACAAACUCUUUCCUGCUCCCUCGACCUUAAUUAACUCCCCCAUCCUGCCAAGCCUCAGCUGCCAGCCCAUUGUAUCUAAGCACACUGCGGCAAAUUGAUACAAGUAGCUAAAGAUCUCGCAUCCGACAUCUCCGGCCGAACGGUUAGGCAACACUAGGGCGCCUGGGUCAAAAUUCCGCUUACCAAACAAGAUGUCGAGAGGCGAACUCUGUAAUUCCCCUCCUGCAAAAGUGAUAGCGGCUGUAGCAUCCGUGUGGAAGAGGGUAAGCUUUCGGCAACACCUUUUUCAGAUUGGAAAGGAUGAAUACUUGUGUUGGGUCCUGCAGACCAGGAUAGCCUCAGAUCAAAACCUAAUAAAUGUACCUGGGGUUGAUCAUAUUUUUUGGGCAAUAAGUAUUCAGGAAUUUGAGCGCUUAUGUAGCUAAAAACUCUGCCACCUGAAUACUUGAUUCAUUAAGGUCGUCACCCUAUACCCGGAAGUCUCUAUCGUUUUCUUUGUCUGUUAAGCUUCACAGGGUUGGGACUCCCUAAAUCAAACUGCAAUCGUUGUUUAUCAACCACUCACGACGACACCGAGAUCUUCGACUUAGCUCCCACAGGUCAUCCACCCGGGGCGGAAGAUAACGAAAGGGAGACAAAGUCCUAACUAAAUCAACACACAAUAACCUCAACCUUCUACCCAUUCCAUCCAUCAUAUCAGUCGAGUCGAGGAGAUUCGUUCUUAUCUAUAGAUAAGGCAAGAGAGAACUUAUGACCUCGCGGAUGGAGAGGGAUUCGAACCCCCGGUAUUCCUAUCAAUACUUCGGUUUUCAAGACCGACUCUUUCAACCGCUCAGACAUCCAUCCCUGCGCUCGCCCGCCCUAUCUAUCUGCGCGCUGGCAGGUAGGGGCAACUCUAUGUGAUUCGCUACGCUUGCUUGCGCCCCACCCCGUAAGCUGACUCUAUUGCCUAGCGGUUAGCGACACUUUUCCGGUAGUACGAAUCGCUACGCUUCGCUUCUUUCUAUAUGAUAAUAUGCACCGUCGGUUGCUGCGCUCCCUGCGGGUAAUAGCAAGAGAGUGAAGAACGAACGAUCCUCAAAAAAGUCAGCAGUGAAUGAGUCCGACUCGAGUUCGUGAGUCAAAGGCGUGGCAAGAGAGCGAGUUCGACUCGCGAACGAUCCGCAAGUGAAGGACCGAUCCUUUAACGCCAGUACUGUUGCGAGACUGGUACUUGGCGGCUCACGAGCAACAUAUAGAAAAAGGUUGCCCAUCACUCCCUCGCUCCUUUUUGAAGGCCCACCGCUCCCCCUUUCUUUAAGUAUCUAUCCCGGCUUGCAUUUUGGGGCGAGUACUACAGUUCCUCCAUAAUCACACAGAACGCCCAGCUUCGCAGAGCUGCUCUCUCCCCAGUCCACAGCAAGGUGUGGAAUCUGGAUCUACUGUGUGUUCUGACUCUAUUGGAUCAAGUCAGAUACUAAGCCUUCUACUACUACUACUUAGGAGAUCAAAUGCUAUAUUUCAGAGAUUGGACUCUCUUACUGUGUUUUUUCAGGGCUGUUCCCGAGCCAGGUUCCCUGGAUCCAUUCUUACCUAAAUGGAUGAAUGAAGAAGGGGGCGAGCAGAUACGACGGCCACACACACUUCUUUUUAGCCGAAUAAAGCCGGAUCUACUACACGGCUAGGAUCAGAGAAAGAUUGAGAAAGCAAGAUCAAACCUACUCUACUGUCGAUUCUAAAGGUAAACAGCCCCCGAAGACUUUAUCAAUGAAUGGAUCAAAGAAGUUUAUCUAUCUAAGUCAUCGUAUAUAAGGGAAGAAGCCCGCCCCUGAUCGAAGAAUGAAGAAGCUAGCCCGGGUAGACUUUAAGAGCUCUUGCUCUGCCUAUCCGUCUCGCUCCGUCUUGGAGGUCAUAGAAAGAUACGAAGGGCCUACUCUUUUAAUUAAAGCCCUACUCUUAAUAAUAGUGAAAGCCCCCUUCUCUUACCUACUUUGACUCAUAUCUUCGGUAUACCUCAAUACAAGACAAGCACUGGAAAGGAUAUUCAAGAAAAACCGGGCUAUCGCCCUAUCUAAGCGGGUUUCCCCUCUCCCUCCACACCGCAUUCGAAUUAUAGAUUGAGUUGAUCUCAUUAACCAAUUCUAGUGUCCAAAAACUACCAUGAAAUCUCCUGCGAAAACAAACCAUUCAUGAAACUCAUGCAGGAGCAUGCGGUGGUCACAUUAAUGGACAUGCGCUAGCUAAGAGAACUUCUUAAGUUAGGGUACUAUUGGCUGGCUUACUAUGGGGAAGGGGAGAAGGCAAGCCGCGUAUGGAUUGAUCCCUAAUUCAGUUCAUUUUUCGUGGUUUUCUUUCCAUCUCACAACUUCCAUUUCUUGAGCCGACCUUGCCCGCUGGAGGUAUGAUUCCGAUCUUUGAAUCGAAUUGGAUUUUUUGUCUUAAAGUGAGGGCGAUGAGUGGGGAAGGAAGCUGACGAUUUUAUUAGUGUGUAAGGUGGCCCCGAGAGCUGAACCAAAGCCGGCCGUUUCGAGACCAGGGAGCUUUAACAGUUUCUACUUAAACUAUGUGUUCAGCUAUGUGUUCAGAUUAUGCUAUUUUAUUAGUAGCUUUCGGUCUCGAUUCGCCCUUACCUCGGAGGGAUCAACUACUUCGCUUAGGCAAAAGAUUGAAAAAGUCUGUAUCUGUCUACAUGUGCCUCCGUCUAUGUUACCCCUUCCCCGGAAAGGAGAUUAUACGUUUAGUAAAAAAAACGAGAAUAAAAAAUCAAAAAGAAAGAAGAGAAAGCACUGGGAGUUGGCGCCUACAUAACAGGUAGCUUGCUUACCAAGCCGUCCUGGCAAGCUCCUACAGUUCUCUUAUUACUCUUGACUUGACUUAUUAAUAAGAAAACUACUCACUAACAAAAUGAAAGACGAUCUAGAAUCUACCCAAGAAGAUAGAGAGUCCCACAUACGAGAAAAGGUCACAAAUGGAGUUGAACCAAGUAACAUUGCAAAGGCAUAAUGAUAGUAGGGUCGGGAUAUCCCCGCCCUCCGAACCGGACGUGAGGGUCUCCCCUCAUCCGGCUCUCCGCAGGGGAAUCUCCACUCACUGCUUCCCCUAAUAUCCUCCCUUUACCACAUCAUGGGGGUUUACAGGAGAUCCCAGAGACUCGCUCGGAAAGGCUGCUAUACCAAACAUUAUUACUUAACUACAAAGAAAGAAAAGACUAUAGUAGUCACUAGACUGACUAUAGUAGUCCGUCCGGCUGCUCUUGCUUAAAUCAUUACUCUUCAUUCUCCCGUGCUCUAGCAAUUGCGCUCCCUAGACCACUACCAUUUAGUUAGGUAGGGACAAUCAAUCCAUAGUUACGGGAAUAACGGAAUACAUGGGGAUAAAAAAAAAUAGAAAAAUGCAGAUUUUCUAUGAAAUCCUUUCUUUCCAUAGAUGUAUCUGGUCUGAGACGGUACAGUACUCUACGAGAGGAAUGCAAUGGGAUGGAUGGUAGAGGGCUGCCUGCGCCCAAAAGCGAUGAUUCACUUGUCCCCUUGUCUAUAGGGACCUUGUGGCAUACAACCGCCACGACUCCUGCGUUAUAGCCGCCCCUUUCUCUCUUUCUUUUGACUGCCUCGUGGACGGACGAAAGAAGGGAAGUUACAGAAGGGGGCAGUGAAGGCUCGCCAAGUAGACAGCAAGCCCCCACCCCGUCAGUCCUGUGUUGCCGUAGCGUGCCCUACUUCAAUAAGGUAUUACCUCGCCGAUUUUAAAGGGGAUGGGAUUGGAUUCAUUCACUUGCAUUCCUGCUAGCACUACAAAAAGCUCCGGUCUUAACGCCCCUACGGAAGCUGUGCAGCCUUUCCUCGGGUUCGUAGAGUCGGGUUUCCCGUUUACCCACAACGGAGGAGCCGCCCCCACCAACCAAAGCAGGUAGGCGGCCACGGUUCAUAACGCACUCUUCGCACAACAGAUCCACUUUGAAGUUGACUUAUUCGCUCGGCCAAUCGUCGGAAUGUGUACGAGAUACCAUAAGGGCCCAAUAUCUCAAUAGCACCCUUGUCUAAAGCUUCGAAUGAGACUGAAUAUCCGAAACGCAGGAACGAUCUGACUAGAAAGUCAUUCAAAACUUGAUCGAAGAACCAGCGUUUAUUGAAGAAGCUAUAGAGUCGAUUACAAAAAGUACUAGUUUGAAAGGCUCGUUGGAAUUGAUCCGCUACGAGAUUUACAUUAUACGCUAGAGAAGCACCUGAAGUACUAAACAGAAUAGGUAUUAGUUUUGUAAUGGUUGGGGCAGCAAACUCGGAUUCGGCAAGAAUCUCAUUUUUUGGUAGUACGAAGGGGGAAUUGGCCCAAAAAUUGGAUAGGGGUAAAGACGCAGCCGGGUGCCGGCGGCUUAUUCAAGUGCCCCCCGAACCGCGCGAAAUGGUCGCCUAUUACACGGCUCACAAACUCUGCCUGGGGUGGGGCUACCUAUUAUUCGUAGGCGGUACGUACGGCGCACGCAGGGCCUCGGUUUGCUGCGUGGACUGUCUAUGCAUUUCCUACAGAGUGUAAUGGAACCCAGCUCAGCUCCGCCGAGCCAAAAGAAAAGAACAGAACAGCCGGAGGCGAAGAGUAGAGUAUAGCCAAGGGGCUUUCGUCGUCCGUAAAGGACCUAACGGAAGACCGUGCUCCGAAGUGUGCACUUCGAGUUUUGUUUUAAGAACACUUGGCCUUACCCCUUCAUUUUGAGCCAUGUCUAGGUAGAAUCGGCAAGAUUGAACCGAGGCCCGCCCGGGCACCGCCGGGGGACAACCAGACCAACCAGUAGGCUUUCUUUCCGAAGUUUCCUCCCGGGGCCCUUAAAUCAUUGAAUUCAUAGGCAUAGGGGCGUCCCAGGCAGUGGUUCAUUCAAUGAGAAAGAAAGACAGGAGGGCAGGAUUCGUCGUGUCGGGCUAAUUCAUUCUGGGAAAAAAGGGGGAAGGGAGUCACCUGAGCUAUGCGAAGGGAAGGAAGUCGUGGGCUGAGCCGGAGGUCACUUUUCCCGAUCCAUCCCGAAGGGUUUUUUCCCUCUCUCGCCCCAUCAUCGUACCCAGUCCUGCUAUCGGCUCAGCCCUAUCUAUUCAUCUCUUUUUUUUUACAUGGAGAUUUUUUGGAUCUCUCUUGUUCAUAGAUCUUGAAAGCGGAUCAAUAGAAAUUUUUCAAAGGAUCUAUCUAUAGAAAGAUCUAGAUCUCUAUCAUCAUCUAUCUCUAUAUCUAGAUAUGGAAGAACCCUCGAAGCCUGUCCCCGACGACGAUGCCCCCUGGGCGAAAGGAAAGGGGCCGCCAUUCUCUUUCUUUCCUCAAUCGUUCCGAUCAUUUCUCUCAUUCCCUUUUGUUUGUUUUUUCGGGUUGGUUCGUUUCCUCCUCCUAUCUACGCAAUUCUCUGUCUUCGUUCGUGAUCAUCUUAGGCGAAAGGAUAGGUAUAAAUUUUGUGGAGGGGCGGCUGUGAAAGGGCGAUUCCCCCUUUUCCAUUGAAGUAGGGAAGGGGGUGAUUGAUCUUUUUUUGAAUCAGGCCUUACUGACCAAGUGGUGGUAUAAGCUUCAUUGCGGAUGAAAAGAAGUCCUUGUGAGCGGAGCUACAAAAGGAAGUUCAAGCUCAAGAAAUCCUCUCAAUAGGGAUUGGGCAAGCAAGCUGUUUGUUUAUUUGAUCUUACCCGGUUGUGAGACGGGACGUGAAGUCAACCAAGUACAUGUGUGUUCAUAGUGUCCCCGGCACCUUCCUCCUAGCUGAGUAUGGAUGCUGAAGUUAGCUGGAGUGUGGGGCGAGUGCGUGGUAGAUGGAACUCCUAUUUACCGCAUUUCUUCUUGCACUUCCAACUUGAAGAGGAAGAAGCAUCUCUCUUUGCAUCUUCAAUAGAUAGGAAAAAGGAUCUUGACCUGAAGCCUUCGACCAAAGAAAGGGAGACUUGGCGAAGUCAGAGGUGGUUUUCCUUCCCUAGAUUCAUGGAAGGACUUUUUGAAGUUUGAGUGAGGAAGAAGGAAAGCGGGAAAGGUCCGAUACAAAGGAAAGGGUUGCGAGGCUUAACGAUUUAGAAUAUAGCUGUUGAGGUGGCACCUGUUCCCCCGGGGCAGGGGUAUAUGCCCGUAGCUUUCUUCUGUCACUUCUUUCAGAUCAAUGAAGUGGAAAAGUAAUAGAGUAAGGGACCCUUGUUUACAAAGAAAGCUGUCACUCCAAGAACUCGAAGUCAAGCAUCUUCGGGAAUAUCCAGAUUAGUCUUCAACUAGAGAAAGGAUAGGAAUCUCCUUUGCUGAGUUUUCUUCUCCAGCGGAUGUAGCGGUAAAAGAUUCUAUUCUUUCCGCGGUCUAGUUACGUCUUUCCUCUCCCUAUCUAAAGAGCUCUAUUAACAUAGACCCUCUCCUGACUCUCUAUCAUUUUAAGAAAGCAGCAAAUCCUUCUCUCUAUUCUACUAUCCGAUCUCGUCUGUUGAAAAUCGAUCUGAAAUAUGGUCAUAUCUUCGUUAUCCCAAUAGUAAACCUUCUUACUUCUCUUCGCAUCUCGAAAGACGCAAAAGAUCUGUUAUUAGCUUAUUUAUAAGCUGUCGAAGGUCCUUAAAAGCCUUGAUUUUUGGCUUACGGCUUACUUGCCUUUUUCCUUAAAGCCUAUAUAGACAGACAUAGACUGAGGGCAUUCUGGGCAUCCAUGCUCCUGGCAAUGGCAAGAUCCGAGAUGUCAGUUGCUUGUCUUCAAGCCUCAACCUUAUUCUGACUCCUACUAGGGCAAUCAGGUUUAAGUUAAGCCCGAACAGCUUAGUUUUCCACUUCUCUUCCGACACAAGCUUCUUUGCCAAGCCUUCCCCAUCAACUGGAAAUCCAGUAAGAAAGGCAAGGGGCGCAACGGCAAGGCAAUCUCAAAUCAUAAUGGGAGUUUUAGGUUUCUUUAGAUAGAUUCGCCUUUGGGGUUGUUACAGAAUCGGUUCUUCAAGAAGGAGCUCUUAGUACGGUGGAUGCAUCGAAUGCAAGCUGUAAGGAAGAAUAAUUCUCUUAGCAGACAAGAAUGAAAUUCAAUUAGUCCCACACUUCCCGCAGGAAUCGAAGAGUACGCAAGCACAUUCAUUUAAUGGGAAAGCUUUCCUUGGCUAGGCCCCUAUGAAGAAAGAUGCCAAUUCCCAAAAGCAGUAACAAUAGCAAUAGCAGUAGGAGUAGCAUUAGGAAUUAAGACCGUCAGGCCUCAUUCAUCAAAGUAGCAGUCCUUAGGGGCUAAAAAAGAGCCCAGAUUCCCCGCAACAAGCUUGGAAAGGAAGAAGACACGAAGGGAGGAGUUCCGCUUAGCCUUUGCUCCUCUUUGAUAGAAGUAGCUCUUUUGUUUGCCAGAAUGGCUUGUUAGCAAGAAAAUGCCUUCUUAGGAAGUGAAGAAGAAUACGCCUGCUUGAGAAUGCCCUCUUGUUGUUCUCGAAAGAUGGAGGGGGGCAGAUUUCACUAAGGAAAGGAACUGAACUAAUGGACGAGGAGGAAGAGAAUAUAGAAAAAUUGCCGACAUUCAAGCAUACUAUAGAUGUUCCAGAACUGCUAAAGGGAAGUUCUAGUAGAAAGGACAACUAAGCGAAAGGCCUUCUUAGAAAGGCGGAGUGACAGGUAAUGCCCUAUUUCCUAACAGUGAAAUCUAAGAUCAGACAAGAAAGAAGCUAAAGGCUAGGCAAAGAAGACGAGGGAGAAAUCGUAGGUGAAAACGUUGGGUUACCAACUCGGGUGGGUUCUCACACCAAGGUUCCUUUGUUUCGGGCAAGCCCAAUUACAAACAAAAGAGAAGGUCGGUCCCGUACUCAAACCAAAUCAGAAGGGCGGUACUCACUCGGAUGGAAGAAUCCCAGGUCGGUCCCAUACCCGAACAAAGGCUAGACCGAAGGUCCCGUCCCACGGGUUAGGUGCUUAGCUGAAGGUGGAAGGCGAAGCCAAGGCAAGAGCAAGGGUUGAAAGACAAUAUAGAAGAAUUCCAUCUCCCCUAUUUGUUCCAUUCUCAAUGGUUGGUCAAGUUGAGAUGAACUACGGGAAUCUAUAUAUGGACUUCAAGGUCAAUCAACCCAUGCAAGGAAACUCGACGGAAUUUGUUUUUUUAUGGAUUCAAGCAAAGAAUGAGAAGUAUGGCUUGGCUAGGGAAGCAGUAGUAGUGGCAGAGGUCGAGCUUUGAGAUGAGAAGAGGGCUGAGUCGUCUAGCUUUUAUUCCAAAAUCACGUAUCACCGAUCAGCCUAUUCGAGAGGAGCUGCUUGCCUUGCCCACUUCAAUAAGGAAGACUCCAUCCAUCUAACCCAUAUCCAUUGGAACCAGAAGCGAGUGGUAAAGUCACCCUUUGGCUAAAAAAACGAUUUGUAUGCGUGGCGCAACACACACCUCUGCAAAAGAAGAGAAAGAACGGAAAGAAGCAGGCCCACAAGACGACAAGUGGAUUGAAUAUCCUUUGCUUUCGUCACCGGUGCUAUUGAAUCCGCAUUUAGAAGAAAGAGCUCCGGGACUGAAUUGCUUUGAGUGGGGCUUGCCCAUUAAUUAGAUCACCUGAGUAAGCCAAGAAAGACGAAAGCGAUGGAUGUAUGUGACAAAGAGAACUUAUGAACAUGAAAGCCAGCCUGUUCCCUAAAUAUUUUAGGAAGCGAAGAAGACAGAAAAAAGUUCGGUAAUCUUCUCCCUUUGGUAGGCAUUUACCCAAGGCACUGAUAUUAUGAGUCUCUCGAUUAUACGUGAAAUAGGGAGUUCAAGGUCUUAUUCGUCUUUCUUGGCCUAUGUGAAUAUGAGCCAAUUCCGGAAAGUGAAUAAUUCACUAUUGAAAGUGCAAGUCGACGUUCCUGAUAUGAAAGUGAAAGUGGAGUGAAAUCUGGAUAUGAAGGUUCAAGUCCAGUUCCAAUCUGGAUAUAAAAGUGCUGUUCAAUCGUCGAAAGUGAUCUCUCUUUUGUUGUUCUCUUUUAGUCCGCUUUUNNNNNNNNNNNNNNNNNNNNNNNNNNAUUAUUUAUUUCUCUUUUGGUAUGUUGGUUAUCUAAAAGCAUCUGUGACUUUUUUUAGUACUUUCGUCACAACUAUGGCAUUGGCAUGGGCCUUUGCUCAACUAGACUAUCAGAGCUCGAUCAUGGCAAACGAAGGAACUCAGACCCGAUCUAGACAACUUGAGGAGCAAGUUAGAGCUAUGAGAGAAUCCAUGGAUAAGAUCCAAGCAGAUCUAGCCGAACGGAUGCAACAACAGAGUGAAGAGUUUCAAGCUCAAAAACAAUUACAACAACAACAGUUUGAGAAGCAAGUAGUUUUUUCUAUUUUUUAAAUACAGAGAGAGGUUAGUGGCUUCAACCUCACACAAAGAGGGAUAGAGGCAACACCUUUUGACGCCAAAAACUCCAAUUUAGACGAAAACUGCAGGGGCAAUAGAACAAUUUAGAAUAUGCAGUAGUGUUAGUAGUUUUGUACAUCUAUUAGGCAUUUUUGCAAAUACAUGGAGGGGAGUGGCCUGUGUAACCAAGACAAUACACCUCAACGUCAUCUUAUCGAACACAUAAAGGGGACUGGCCUCUUUCACUAAGACAACAAUUAUGGCCGUGUAGAUGCAGUAUUCGAUGUUUCACAAAACAAAGACAGAGGAGGUUGUAAGAGAGACCUUGUCAGUGCGAAGGAGAGGAACGUGUCGAGAAGAAGACACCUGUCCGGAGAGGUGCAAAGGAGAGCUGCGAGAGGAAAUGCAAUUCAAAGGCAAUCCUUUGUUGUUAUCUGGUCCUUGAUAGAAAGAGGACCUUAUGAAGAGUCCCUCACCUACGGAUCACUGAAAUAGCCUAGCUUUCCAAGCCAAGUGACCUUACUUACUGUAGUGUAAGACCCACGGGGAGAAGCUAUAGCUUUGAGAGUUGCUGAAUUAGUAGCUGUAGCUAUGAGAAAGGAGUAGUGUUGGAGGAAGAUUUAGGCUCAGCCAAUUCAGUCAAGGGUAAUUUAGUAGAUACCUCUCCAUCCCUCUCUCCACACAACCAGCUUAAUAUGACCCAAAACAGUCAUGUUCCCAAUCUUACCCCACAACAAGCUUCUUGCUCAAACCCUGGAUCUGGAAACCUGACAAGCUCCAUGACUCCAGUCAUCCUAGCAUCAAGUACUGUAGAUACUGGUGUGAAAAACCUUCUAUGUCGUCAACAACUAGGCCUAUCAUAAUUAACCCAAGAACCUGUUUGCAGCCAGUACCAGUAAUGGAGUCAUACCCAAACUUUAGGAGCCACAACCCACCAUUUUCCCUUCCUUGCUUAUGGUUUGCUGUCCUCGGGAAUGGUAUCUCCUUGAACAAGGUAGCUGUGUCACAUAUAUUCCGUUAAUGGGAUGGAUUUUCUGCUUUCGGAUGGUGUGAUUUCAACGUUGAGUACCUACUAAGAGUUAGUUCUCGAUGGGCAAUAAAUCAUAUUGAUGAAAAAUCCACCAAGGAGCAUGAAACAAAACACAUAACUUACAUACCAUUGUACUUAGAGCCAAUAAACUACCAAGAAUCCUCUGUCUCAACCACUUUCUUCUUGUCUUUACAUCGAUUUCCAAAUAUAGGAAGGGAAAGUAACGGAGAGCAAGCAAAAGAAAGAAAUCUAUCAACGACCGACUUCGGACUAGAAUCUAGAAACAUACCUAAGGGAAGAAAGCAUAUUUUAGGUUUACUCCUUCCAUGUCUAGUAGGAGUGCGUGCUUCUUAUUGCCUUUUGAGCAGUAGUUGUAUACAUUCCUCACUCAGUCUAAUUAAUUAUCUUUCUCCCUACCCAAAUACCAAGGGAGGUUUAUGAGUCGUAUCCUCCUUACGAGAUAGCGGAAGUAGCAUUAGCGGGAAAAGUAAGCUCCUUUUCAAGCCUUCUCUUUCGUAACCUUUGAUUAGUUCCUUAGAUGCCCUUAGCAAGAAUGAUGCAGGAGCAAGAAAGUCUAUUUCCUCCGCCUUUCAAGAAUCUCGCUAUUCAAAUAGCACAGUAUAAAAUGCAAUCCAUAAGUCAUGCUGGUCAAUCAAUGACAAUGAUAAGCUCUAUAAAAAAAAAGAGUCUAUUGCUCUUCGACACGUUUUAUAUCUACUUCAGUCAUGCUUUAUUGGAGUUAUCUGACGCCAAGGAGGAAGGAAUAGAGAUUAGGAUCCUAGCCUUGUUCCGUUUGAAGUUCCUAAGAGAGGUUACAAAAGAAAGGGAUGCUCAAACCAAGGAUUUGGAGUCUUAUUAGUGCAUCAAUCUACAGAAAGGUAGGGGGGCAUACCUGUGUGAAAAUGGAGUGUAAAGCAUAUUCUAGAUAUUUCACUUCGAAUUUCUUCCUCUUAAAAGAGUCAAGUCCGCAGGGUUCCCUAAAUUCCCCAGGAAUCAAGUGGGACCGGGAGAUCGUUGUUCAUUCGGUGGUUGGCCCUCCCCCUAAUAAGUACCUACCAAGAAUUGGGCCAGUUAGUUCAAGCGGUACCGAAUCACAAAGAACAGUUGAGUUUUCUAAUUCAUCUAUUAUUAUAUUUUUUGCAUUUCUAGAAUAGCGUUGGAGCCGGGACACACAUUUCUGCCCGAGUUCCAACAGCAAACCAAAUACGUUAUCGUGGAAAAGCCAACACAGAAGAGUUUGUGUGCUUUUUAUUUUCACAUGAGUUUCACAUAUGUGAUGGUUGGUUGGGAGGGUACGGCAAAUGACUCUAGAAUCUUUCUGGAUACAACCACUGAACCGGAAAAUGGCCACUAUCGUCACCGAGAAAAUACUAUCUUGUGGACUCAGGCUCUACGUUUAUGCCUUAAGGUCUUUCUCCUUACCGUGGGGAGCGGUACCACUUGCGUGAUUCUAGAGAAGAAGGCGGUGUCCCGACCACAAGGCGGUUAAAUUCCACUGGUGCUUGCUAGCCAGUCAAGAACGACUCGAAGACCGUGGGAAGGUCUUCACGCUACGCCGAAGACGACGAUGGCUCCAUACCGGGUGGUAAUACACAGGUAUAGGAUUUCCUGUAAUGAUGUGAAACUGUAUAUUUCAGAGAAAUAGCUCAGUUCGAGAGGAAGGCGGAAACAGUUCCGGUUUUAUUAACCUGAUUCCUAUUCAUUUACCGGUAAAGGAAGGAAUUCUUAUCUAUUUCUCGAGGCAAUUAUACUCAUAUCGACAAUAUGAACUGCAUGAGAAUUAGCAUAUAGAAAGAAAGCUUUACCGAAUACAGGUCUAGUAGGUAUAGAGCCGUAAGCGUGGUGGGGGUGCCGGUGCUUAGGCAGAUGCCCCAUUGUUCAUGAUGUUGCAAUGAAUCCAGUGGAUCAUCCUCAUGGAGGAGGUGAGGGGCGCACGAAAGGAGGUAGACCUUCGGUGUCACCUUGGGGAAAGCUCACCAAAGCAGGAUUUCGGGCAGUAGUAGGGGUGGUGAAACUUUAGAUGUCAAAUGACACCAAUUUUUCUGCUCAAGUUAGAACGUAGUUUUUCUAAGUUAAUUGGCCAGUUCCUUUUAAAAGGAGACUGGUUUCUUUUUAUAAGCGAUUGGCUUCACUUUAGAUUUGUUAUCGUAAUUUCUCUUUUAUUUAUGGGUUGUUAUUUAUUAUUUCGAUUUUUGAUAAACGAAACGAAUCCAAGCCCGACAAGUAGAAUUCCAUUCGGUACCUUUGGGGUUUUCUUUUUCCUUCUGGAUGACGACGUCACCGCGUCUCCUUAUUGUUAUUGCGAUGGUGACGAGGAACAAAGGGCCGGGGAGAUCAUCGAAAUUACCUCUAGCCCGGAGCCAGAGGGGGUCGUCGACACAACGCCAACCCUGGUGGUGGGGCACUUCGAAGGUCUGGAGACCCUCCUUGAGAUUCCCCCUUUACCGGAAACGCCACCCGCAGGUCCUUCCUUAGCUCCAGAAGAAAGGGAGCAAGCCCCCUCUGUUGGCCUAAACCUCGAUCCAUCCCAGAGUAGCCGCCGGCUGGACGGCGGCGAACGGGGGGCAAACUCCUCAAAACGAAGUUCUACUUUGUCUUUGGAAGAAUUGGAAGAAUCGGACUCUAAGUUUAAAGUAGGAGUAGAGUCUUUAGAGGCUCGCUUAGAAGGAAUAAAGAGAAAAAAGCAACUGCAAGCGUUCGGGGCUUCUCCUUUUGAGACCGCGAAAGCAGAGCUGGUUACGUCCAUUGGGGAAAAUUCCCAGUUUCGUGUGGGACUGCUUUUGUCUCUGGAUGUCAAAUGCCCCUUGACGGGCAAACGGGAGGCUCUCGAAAAGACGAUAGAGGCCAUCUUGAAAUGCCAAGGGAAGAAGCCCACAGACUCCCUAGCGUCUCUACUCGACCUAAAAUGCGAUCUCGAGGACCCCGAAAAACUCGAGACCGCUCUCCGUCCAUAUUUAGGACGGUUAGGGCUAUUUUUUAAGAAAUAAAAACCUUCUGUCGAUUUAUCCACACUUCCAUGACUUCUAGAGGAAAGCUAACUGCUUGCUGGCUGGGAGCUGUAUGAGCGGUAACGUCCACGUACGGCUCCGUGAGAAGGUGGACGGAAAUGGCCUUGUUGUACCUCACUCCCGUCUUCAAUGGGGUCUGCUCUUUUUUUUUUAGGAGAGUAUGCCAAUAUGAUCUUAAUGAGGUGCGGGGCUUUGCAUCUGACAUUCGUUGGGCUUUCCUCUGCGGGAGCCCGCGUCCCGGCCUUUUUGUGCAAUAAACCCCUCCGGCCGAAGACUAGUGAUAGGUGGUCCCGCGGAGCUUUCGGAGAAGGGUAGCCUAGUGUGUAAGCACAGCAAUGAACCGCGGCGAACCCUCAGACGACCCUUCUAAGAUAAGGGGGGAGAUCCUCAGUAGUGGUGACCCUUUGACUCUUCCACUGACUUAUAUAUGUACCGAAUGCUCAUACGGGAAAGUGAACUCCUGGGUCUGGAACCUGGGGGGUUGCUCCGAGAAAAAAUCCUUUCUUUCUCGUCCACUCUAGGGGGUGCGGACACACCUGCGCGGAUUACAGGUGACGGUUACAAGAAUGGCGGGGAAGUGAAGAGUACCCGACGACAUUCAGGGAUGAAUGUAGACCCAUCGGGCGGGGAUAAUCAUUCCGGUCCUGGGAGAGGUGGCGACACCAGUCUGAGCUGAGGGAAGCCAGCCAAUUGAGUCACUGAAACGACCGCAGGAGGCGCACCCUAAGCCCAGCUUCUCGGAGCUGCUAUUGCGAAAUACGGCUUCCUUAAUAUCCAAAUUUCAACAAGGGGGCUGGGCUGCUCGCCUUCAUAGAAAGGCGACCGGGCCUAGAUUAGAUGUUCGCCUUUUUAUAGAAUAGAAAGAGAAGGUAAAGGGGGGGGUUUGGAGAUUCUUUCAAGAAUGCAUGGCUUCCUCCUAUUCCGCUUCAACAGAAGCCCUUAAAAUCCUGCUGCUAUGGCAGCAAGGGUUAUCCAUUUCAUAGGCGAGGGUGGGGGAGAAGCAAGCCGAACCUCUGAUCGACCCGGACACGUCAAAAAUUCUCGGCGCCGAGAGAAAGACGAGAUUCAGUAAGUAAUUCAGUGAGUGCUUUCUUUUAUAAGAAGAGCGUCGGCUUGGAAGAAGAAAAUGAAAUACGAACAACCGCGCUGGUUGUAAUAGAUCGACUUGAAUGCGUCUUCUUGCUCCAGCAUUCAAGUUCCAUUUCAAGGGAGGACGACGUACCAUGAUACUUUCUGUUUUGUCGAGCCCUGCUUUGGUCUCUGGUUUGAUGGUUGUACGUGCUAAAAAUCCGGUACAUUCCGUUUUGUUUCCCAUCCUAGUCUUUUGCGACACUUCUGGUUUACUUAUUUUGUUAGGUCUCGACUUCUCCGCUAUGAUCUCCCCAGUAGUUCAUAUAGGAGCUAUUGCCGUUUCAUUCCUAUUCGUGGUUAUGAUGUUCAAUAUUCAAAUAGCGGAGAUUCACGAAGAAGUAUUGCGCUAUUUACCAGUGAGUGGUAUUAUUGGACUGAUCUUUUGGUGGGAAAUGUUCUUCAUUUUAGAUAAUGAAACCAUUCCAUUACUACCAACCCACAGAAAUACGACCUCUCUGAGAUAUACGGUUUAUGCCGGAAAGGUACGAAGUUGGACUAAUUUGGAAACAUCGGGCAAUUUGCUUUAUACCUACUAUUCCGUCUGGUUUUUGGUUUCUAGUCUGAUUUUAUUAGUUGCUAUGAUUGGGGCUAUAGUACUUACUAUGCAUAAGACUACAGAGGUGAAAAGACAGGAUGUAUUCCGACGAAAUGCCUUGGAUUCUAGGAGGAAUAUAAUGAGGAGCAUGACAAUUCCAAACGGAAGCAGAAGGUGCUUUUCGUCCGGAGCGGGGGGACCGCCUGAGAAUUACAAAGAAACCUUUAAAAGGUGGAUUUUGUGCUCAGAAUAUAGGGAUUUCCCUGGCUUAAAAAGCAAUAUAGACAAACUUAUUGCAUUCCUUUCACCUUCCGAGAUCCUAUUCAUGGUGCACACCUUUCCCCGGGACUUUCCUCUGCUCGAGAUCUUGGAACCACGGGAUAUCCGCGAAAUAAUCGCUCACUCGCACAAGCAGUGGAAGCCACCCAAAAAGGGGGGCUAGUAAUUAGUUUUUUUUGGUAGGUUUGUUUUGUUUUGUUUCUCGAAUUGGUAGGUUUCUCGAAGUAGUUUUAGUAGGUUUCUCAGGAAAUAGAGAUACCGAGGCCCACCAACCUACUACUUGUUGGUUUGGUGGGGAAAGAAGAGCGGGAACGAGGGCUUCUUUCACUGUUUCCCUAAGUUCAAAAGUGAAUGUGGAAACGCUGUCUAUGGUCUGGUUAUAGCAUCCCCUUUCUCAAUUCCUUUCUGGUCAAUAAGGAUGGUUAUAGCCAGCUUAGAAGGGAAUUCUAAAUGUAAGAAGUUGCUGGAUGGUUUGCUCCAAUGAAGAGGUACACCUAGGUAGGAGGGAGGGAGCUUUCCCACUUUGCAGACGAGUAGUUCUGCCGCUCCGCGUUGGAUAGGAAAGGGGUGGAGAAGGUUCAUUUAUCAGGAAUCUACUUGUUGCAUAAUGCACAUGCCACAAACGAUAAAGUGGAAGCACACUCAGAUGAAGAGGAUGGUGAAUUGAUCAAUAAUCCCAUGUCUUUUUUUGCUGAGAAAUCUUGGAUCAAGACAUACAAGGCAGCAUUGGUCAAACAUAGGACUACCUAGGCUAGGUCAUUCAUUGCUUGGUCCGCUAUAUUCGUUUUGUCUUCUAGUUCUCCACAGGGACUUCCUACUACUCCGCCGAAUCUCUCAUCUGAGAAAGUAGGUCACCUGGGUCGGGUAAAGCAGCGUAGAUAAGGCUGGAGUUUAUGAACAAGUUGAUGUCUACUAGGGCAUUGACCGUACAAGCAGGUAAGUAUAGGGCUCGGCUAGGAAUUCGUUUAUGCUUAUAUUUAUAAGCUUUCUUCUCACUAGGUAGGGCGGGCAGUUGGUCUUAUUGCCCUGCAUCAUAUGAGAAGGAGUUCUUCCACGAAAUAGAGGUCGUCUAUGGUCUUUGUGGCAUUGAUGGAUAGUACUGGUCUGUUGUCAACAAAUAGACUGGCUAGGUCACAGUCUGCUAAGUCUACUAGUGGGAUAUGAAUAUGCAUUAGUAGUAGUUAUUGCUGCCGGAUUGGUAUUAACAGUUGGUCAAGUCUAACGUAACGUUUUUUAAGUAGAAGGAUAGGGCAUUAAUUACCUGGGGUCGAUAGGUACACCUUUAUAAUAAAUUAUUAGCACAAAGCUCUCAUCUCACUUUUCAUAGGUAGGCGAAAACUCUAUAGUGAUAGUGUAGUGUAUAUUGGCUUGGAUUCUUUCUAUUGUUAUGGGAAAGGCAUAUCCCCACCCAGUUCUUCUUCGUCUUAAUUAAUAACUCCUUCCUGAACUUCAAAGUACGAUAGAAACUUACUUAUAUCUCGUAGGAAAACUAGAGAAUGAGCCAUCUCCAUCUCGUAGAGAAACUAGAGAGGUGCUGGGCGCAGCUGAAAGGAAAUCCAAGAAGAGUCCAUGAAAGGCUAGCACGAUUAGGAUCCUUUGUAGGGUUUAUCUCGGAAGAGAAGGCUAUGAAGCGAACAUCUCUUCUUUGGGAGAGAGGGGAAGAUCUAUGCAGGACACUUAACCCGUGCCGGAGGACUGCACACAGCUGGUACAACCUCGUGUGGUACAUUUUACAUGUUCUUACAAGUCCGAUGGUACAGUUGACCUAGUAUCGAAUUAUUAUAGAUUCCGUUGGCAGCCAUUGCCCCCCUGCAUGUCGUCUGACACGACCGAAACGAAACUUUACACCCCCUAGCAGCCCCCUGUCGGCAUCGAAAACGGAGGGAAGUGCGCGUGCUGAUGUUUAAUCAUGCGAUGCCAAUGAUGUAAGCGCGGGCCCGCAGGUGCAGACAGGUUCGUCGGGGGCAAGCUUCAGAGGUGGGGGGUACGAUUGUGGAAGAUUGCGUGGAGGCAGGGGUUGGAGAUGUGAUGCAAGGGUGCGGGGAAUUGGGUGGAAGGACAGUCGUUAAUGUGGAGUCAGGACGGGCGUGAGGCAAGAAGUGGAGGGAAGUGGGAUCUAGAUUAGAAGAGAUAAAUACGAUAUUCCUGAUACCCGCGGACGAUCCCUAGCCUAGCUUGGCAAUCCCUUGAAAAUGCAAUGCAUUUUCCCUUGAGAUGAAAUUUCUUUUUCGGUGGCAACUCAAAAAAAAAAACUCUCAAAUCAACUCACGCAUAUUCCCUUGCUUCUGUUAACUACGCAUAUCUCCUGUUUCUAUACUUGCUAGCUAGCAACCUCUUAUCACACAGAAAGCGUGACAUGAAUGCAUACCCCCGUGUAUACAACUCCUUACUAUCUCUAAUAUACCGUUGCUUGUUCGGCGCAUAGACCUAUUAUUAUUAUCGGUCAGGCUUUCCUUUUGGCAGGUGAUUACUAUAUAUAAUAUAGCGGGCUUUCCCUUAUCCGUUCGCUUAGGUAUCUGACUGUGUAGCGUAGUUCGCCGAUUCCCGGGGCCGGCACGGCACAACCGGAUCCCCAUCCUUAGCCAAAGUCCGUACUUUACCCCGUUCCUGAUCCCCAAUGCCAGGGUUGAAUAGUAGCCAGCCAUGAGAUCUAUACUUUAUCCAUUGGUCAAGUAGCAUAAUUGUUUACCUGGUCUUUCUUCUUGGAUAGAUAUGGCCCUACCUUCCUCUUGAGGAAUCCGUUCAUGAUGCCCUGGCUACACUGACUGGACUAUGCUGUGCGCUUUCGAGAAGAUUCACACUACCGGCGAAAGGAAGCGGAUAAGCUUAUCACGAACGGCGCAUCCUAGGACAGAUAAAUAUGUAUCAUCCCUUUUGGAGAUGACUACACUACCGGGGAAAGAAUCCAUAAAAUACUAGUGUGUUCAAUUGGAAGAUCAUAAGUAGGACGGAUAAUAUCCAAAGACACCAGUCCAUCCAAUUCCCUAAACUUCAAUCAAAUCAAGAAGAAACUAAAGAAACCGCGGAAGAAAAGCAAUGGUUGUUCGGGGAUAGGUCCCGCAAUGAAAGUAUUAAUAAAUCUAAAGUAGAUUGGCAAGAAAGAGCAGUUGGUCAUCUCGGAAAGAUAGAUAAAGCUAAAUCUAGGAAAGCAAGCUAGGAAACCCUAGAUAGGAGCAAUCCGUUCCACCACUCCUGAGAAUUUAGGGCAUAAUCACCCGCGGAGCAACUGGGGUACUCAACACUGUAGUAGUACAAUCGGUUGUCUUUCUCUAGCCAAUAACACGGCAAGAGGUGGACGGCAAUUAAGUUGAGGGUAAUGACAACAAACUAAAUCCCAACACUUAAUGCAAACGGCUCUGAAUGGUCUAAAGAUACGAAUUAUUCGACCGAGAUGGGUUUACCUCACUCGUUUGUAGAAACACUUUCGAAAGAACAGACAAGAUCCACCAGAUAAAAAAUUGGUACGCCACGCACGGCUGCUCCGGCGAGCGACGGGGGCACGGGCGCGGUGUUUCUCGCAGUUGCUCGAUGGCUAGGGGAACGGAUAAAUCCCCUUUCGAAAUGACUUGAUUAUCCCUCGACUAGGAAACAAGAGUACUCUUGACCAUAGGAAAGAAGCUAACUCUGAAAAAGAGAAAUGGAAUCAUCGAGAUAGGAGCUAGUUCCUGGAUUGAGAGAGUUCUGCCCAAUGCCUAAAUUGGAUGGUGGAUCUUCAGCUUUAGCGAGUUCACUCGUAGAAAUGUCCGUUUGAUUGCUCCUCGGGUGCUUCCUUCUUUCAAAUCUAGAUUUCCUAGAAUCAUACCUUCGUCCAUUCUUGGCAAGCCUUCUUCUCUGAUGGUAUAGAUGAAGACACCGGAUCCCCAUCCUUAGCCAAACCUUCAAUUCAAGCUAGGGCAACAAAGGUUUCAUCAGAAAGGGAUGGAUGGCCUCCACUCACAGAUCCACUUUCUUUCGGGGCCAUCAAUAGAAUAGUUCUGUUCUUUAGCCGACGUUUUUCCUUGCCGUCUAUAUCCGAGCGGUUCCCUUUGGCAUAUUUCACUUGCUUUGCUACUACGGUACCCGCAUUCUUGAAAGAAAAAGGGAUGGAUAGUUGCCCUUAGGAGACAGAUGGUGCCCAUUUAUCCAUAGAAUAGGUUCAAGAAGAUGAGACGCAUUGAUGUUAAUGAACUUGAGGUUGAAGUUCUAGUAAGCUUAAGCAUAGGUUUAGGUGCACAAGUGGUAUACCAAAAUACUCGUUUAACUACUCCGCAAUGGGACACCCUUCCAAGGUGGGUCCCCUUUCGUACGACCUAUUCUCUCUCUCUGAAAGUAGCAAUAGAAGAAGGAUAGCUUGUUCGUUCUGACUCCUAGUUCGAAAGCUUUUCCUUCUGCUUGGGAACGAUCUUAUCCCGAGUCCUCUGUGGAGUGAAGGAAGUGAUGCCAAUUCUACCGGGUCCGGUAUCCCCUUAACAACGGAUUCCAUUUCUCUUGACCGAUGGCGUUCUCCCACUGACUUGCUAAGGAAGAGGCUAGUUCGCGUGGACGCUGCCCUACGUGGUGUUGCUCGUUUUUAAUGACUCUUAAAAUAGUUGACUAAUGAAUUCCAAAGGAUUUAGGUAUUUGACUAGCAGUCAUCUUCAUCAGGUCUAGCUAGAUAUUGCUGUGAAUAAGUGUUCUUUCGCUUGAACCUAUGGAUUGGCUUAAGCAAGCAUGGUAUCUUUGGACCAGACCUCGAACAUCUGCUUCUAUAGGAGUUCAUGUCUGUCAACAUAACUAGUUUGAUCCCCCUUCCUAAAGUAUACAUACAGCUCUUUUCUAUUCUGAUAAUAAGUAAAGUGUCCCUCCUCCACCAGUCGAUGAGCCUAGCCUGCCUGAGAAUCUACGCACUAAAGCCAUACUGCAGGAUUGCCACCCAUCAUUCCAGCUUUCACUGCCUAUUCGGCUUCAGCAGUGGGUUUCCAAAGGCGCUCUUCCCAGAUAAAAACGGUUUUUCAAAACUUCUAUCCACAGCUCCAACUAGAUUGAGCACGAAAUCCAAGGACCUUGAGUGACCACAAAGCCGAAGGGCGAGAGCAAACGGAUCAAUCACUAGAGACAGCUUUGUUUCUUGAUAACAAAGAUAGCCUGCCUUGACUUGAAUUGAGAUAAAGGAAGUAUAGGUAGUACAUUGAUAUCGCUCCGCAUUGAAUUGAGAAAAAGCAUUACCGGAUUGUGGAGGAUCAAUAGACUCUGCCGUCGAUAGACAGAAAGACGCUUCAAUUGCCCAAAAACUAUAGACAUUCAUUAGCUAGAGUUUGCUUACAACAACUGCUAUCACUCUAGCAUCGGAAUGGCACCUUUCGAAGCACUCUACGGGAACCUUUGUCGUACCCCGAUUUGUUGGGGUUGGCACGUACCGACCGACGGGGCCACAGAAGAUGAAGGAGAGUGCCGAGAAGAUUCCACUUAUUCUAGAUUAAAAGCAGUUCAGGACCAGGUACGCCGACCACGAUAUUUGGAGUUUGCAGUAGGUGAUCAUGCUUGACUUCGGCUUGAACCUACAAAGGGUGUGAUGCGUUUUUGAGUGAAGGAUUAGGUAUAGCUGACCGAUACAUCGGACCUUUCUUGGCCCAUAUCCCCCUAGCCCUUACUCCCUUGUUUCGGUGGUUGGUCUCUACCUUUUUCUGUCUCUUGGCUAGUUUGUCUUCCUCUUCUUUUUGAGGGUAACGUAGUAAAAAUCCUUUAUUUCAGGGGAUUUCCCUUUUCUUUCCAAAUGAAUUUAUGCUUAGUCUAAAAUUGGUAAAUACCAAAUAAUAAUAUAUAUAUAUUAUUAUUAUUAGAAAUAUGUACCAGUUUCCUGAAACUAACAAAUAGAGUUAUAGCUUUGAUUGACUUACUAGCUUACGGGAACGCUUUGAAUCUCAACUUACUUUGAACGAGUGCUUCCCACAUAGAUUGCUGGAAAGAGGAGUGAGCCGGGGCAGAACUUGAAGCACGGGAGAAGGAAAAAGAAGUAUACAAGGGGUGCGUAGUUGGUAUAUGUACGGUAUAGACCUUUCUUUGUGAAUAGCUAGUUCAGUUACAAGGGUGUAUACAAAGGUCUGCUUAUAGGUUGAAAAAGCCUGUAGAGAUAGCCUAGAUAGCCAAGAAGAUAUACGUAUUUCAUAGAGCUAGCUAAUAAAGCUUUUGUUAACUUCAAAUAGGCUAUUGAAUGCAACGGCAAAUAAAGAAGAAGAAAGUGCCAGAGCUAAGAGCUAAUAUAUUCCCAGUCUAUGCAUGGAUAAAGGAAUGAUAAGAGCUAUGAGCAGUUUAUUAAACUACACUACGGCUAAUAUAUAUAAGGACAAAUCAACUAGAAAAAACCGUUGCCAAAGAAACCAUUUGUUUAAGCUUAUUCGUUCGCGCUAGGCUAAAAAACUAGAUAGAAGAACUAGAGGCCGCCAAGGUCUUCAACCAUUAGACAAGCAGGUAGGAUCCUUUGCUUACUACUUGAAGCAGAAACCUAGAAGAGGAAUUCUUUCUAUUCCAAAAUCCAUCUUCUUUCCGGUCCGCUUCAUUCAUUCCCUUACUAAUAAAUCCAAUUCAUCGCUAAUGGCGAAACCAGCCUGUAUGUACACCGCACAACUAACCGUUGCUUGGUAGGUUCGAUCAGCUCUUCUCACCUUUCCGUCGACAUCUACUAAGGCUUCAGCUUAAGUGGGUUCAGCCGCCCCAAAUCUGACUCGAUCCAGGGUUAUAUAUCAUAAAGGGCUUCGACAAGGGGUUUGAUUCGUUCUUUGAGCAAAAAGAUAAGGUCGGAAUACCGGAGUUCUUUCUUUGCUUCCAAGAACAUAGAUUCCUUCUUCAACCCAGGUCAUGACCGAGGGCGGGUAUCUCACUCGCAUAUCUAGAGCCCAGCAUCUCUCCUGAACGACACCUUCUGCAGACUCUACUGGUGGUAUUUCCCGAGGCGAGGGUAAAUAUGUGCAUUCAUAUCGGUCAGGAAACGACAAUGACUCUUCUUCUUUCCGGGAAGGUAUGGGCACCUCACAAUUCUUAUACGACAUUAGUGGAAGCGAACAUUCGUAGCAUUCAUUGUCACCGAUCAUUGACAAAAGAAGAAAAAGAAGCCGUACGACAACUUAAGGAAUCUUUAGAUUUGGCGGCUAUAGACUCAAAGGGCACAGACAGGCUGCUGGUACUUUUUUUUUAGCUAACUAAAGUCCAACUUCCUUUGCCGAAAGAGGAUGAAACGGAUCAGCCGAUUCAACUUAGCAUUACCCGACUCGUAACUUCAAGCACAACCAUCCAUCUCAAUCCAAAAUCUCCGAUCGUCUGUGAUCCAAACCCAAACUCUCCUCCGGUUUUGGAUAUAUAGACAGUGCCUGCUCUCAAACCAACCAAGACAGCAGCAAGUUCCUAUCGAGAACAAGACGACAGAUCAAUAUGACCAAUUUCUAUAAUAUCUCGGGUGAAUACGUGAAAAAGUGUUGCUUAGCUCAGUGAAAUGGAAUAAGGAAGAGAAAGUGUAGUGUGAUAAGGGAAGAUGCAAGUCAAUUUUUAGGUUUUCAAGCAAGGGCUGAGAUAGAUAUACAAACCAGAAGAAUUCACAUCAGAACCCUUUCCUGCUUCCCCUUUUUACCCAUCGGACUCGACUCACAUUUUGAUCUCCUACGCUUGCUUUCACAGUCCCCCUACGAGCAGCCCGGAAUCAAUGAAGGAGUUCAUUCAGCACCGAGCCGAGCGAGCGUAGAUUCAAUAUGUUGAUUGUACCGAACGAAGGAUUUGCCUUAUCACGAAAGCCACAUUCGUUUCGUUUGAGGAAGUCACACGUCCUGUUCCCUAUAAAUAAGGAGAUUCAUUCUUUUUUUUCAGAAAUCCCCUCUUCUUCCUCCUCAAGCCCCUAUCACAAGACCAAGCGGAUCUCAUCCUGCAGAAGACUCAGAGCGGAUCUAUCUAAUGGCAUGGCUGGCUGUCGGAUGUGAUCUAUUCUCGUGUCACAUCGCUUUCUUUCUUCUCCCUCCAUUUUCUUCACUACUACCGCUUCUACACAUAAAUCAAAGAAGCAUUGUGGAAUAGUGGCAUUUCGUUAAUGGCUAAAAUGUUCUUAGUGAAAGGGUUGCCGCAAAACCGGCAAACUCAGAGCGGUCUCUGAAAGUGAAUAGGAGCAUAGCGGCAUCAUCCAAGCCAAACACGUCUCCUCAGUCAAGGGUCUUCUCGCGCAAAGAAGAUCAAAAACAUAACAACUGAUUUCGCUUAAUGCAUGUCACCCGCCCGCUCUCAAUACAGCAAGUGACUCUCUCUCACAAGACAGAGAAAGAUUACCGAUUCAUCCAAUCCAAUUUGAUCAGAAGUGAGUUCAUUGUUGUUGUAUAGCGAAACCUUUCCUUGACAAAACCAUUCUCAGCUAAUAGAAGCCGAGCUAUCUAUCCAGAUCAGGGUUGAACGAAGCGAAUGGAAAAGCCAAAGAAAACAUAAAUCCAUUGCGAUUAGAAACCAGUGACUCUACAGCCAGGGCUCGAUGGCGAUGUAAGAUAGAAAGAAUGGGGAGUUAGGGCUUCGGUUUCCUCUGUAGCCAGUUUCAAUUCCAAAUCAUUUGCCGACAUGCGGACUCACUUCUCUUUUAUGGGAUGACUUUUAUUAUCCAAGUUGUCUAUUUACGUGGGUGAAUCAAGUACAACAAGUCAGGUCAGAGCUUGUGGUAGAAGAUUGGGCUCUGCUACGCAGAUCCACUCAACUAGGAAAGAAGUACGCAUUGCUGACUGACUGUUUGAACGAUCCUAGUUACUAGUAGCUAAUCAAGUCAGAGUAGGGUGGCCGAGAAGCUUCUUGCCGGUGCCCCCAAAAGCAAAGCACAGACUCUACUCACCCACGCGUUUUCCACCUACGGAGGGAGAAAUCAUCGAAAUAUCCUCAUCCCCUGAAAGGGAACCCGAAAACAGGACGAGAGUGGAUAGGGUGACUAAGGAGGCCGUAAAAAUUAGUAGUGCAUUUUUGAAAGAUAAGAUUACAAAAAGGCGAGAGCAGCAUAAUUGUUAGUUAGGGGUAAGAGGGGACGGGCCCGUAUAGAAAGUAAAUCCUUCUUUUUCCGAUAUGCCGCUCCGCAAGCAAGGAGUGCCACGCACGAGCGGAGCGAAAACUAAGCAAGGGGAAUUCCGUCAUUCCAUGGAAAGCAUGCGAAAUCCUUUGAUUGUUUAUAGAAUCAAAAUAACUAUAUAGUCUUUCUUGUUCCACUUGCAAGGCAAGGAAAAUAAAAUGUCAGUUUCGUUAUUACAACCUUAUUUUUUUAUGUCAAAGACAAAAAGCUACGCGCAAAUUCUCAUUGGAUCUCGGUUGUUCUUAACAGCGAUGGCUAUUCAUUUAAGUCUUCGGGUAGCACCACCAGAUCUUCAACAAGGUGGAAAUUCUCGUAUUUCGUAUGUACAUGUUCCUGCGGCUCGGAUGAGUAUAGUUAUUUAUAUCGCGACAGCUAUAAACAGUUCCUUGUUCCCAUUAACAAAACAUCCCCUUUUUCUUCGCUCUUCCGGAACCGGUACAGAAAUUGGUGCUUUUUCUACUUUGUUUACGUUAGUGACUGGGGGGUUUCGGGGAAGGCCUAUGUGGGGUACCUUUCGGGUGUGGGAUGCUCGUUUAACUUCUGUAUUCAUCUUGUUCCUUAUUUACCUGGGUGCACUGCGUUUUCAAAAGCUUCCUGUCGAACCGGCUCCUAUUUCAAUCCGUGCUGGACCGAUCGAUAUACCAAUAAUAAAGUCUCCAGUCAACUGGUGGAAUACAUCGCAUCAACCUGGGAGCAUUAGCCGAUCUGGUACAUCAAUACAUGUUCCUAUGCCCAUUCCAAUCUUGUCUAACUUUGCUAACUUCCCCUUCUCUACCCGUAUCUUGUUCGUUCUGGAAACACGUCUUCCUAUUCCAUCUUUUCCCGAAUCUCCCUUAACGGAAGAAAUAGAAGCUCGAGAAGGAAUACCACUAAAAACCUAGUUCGCUCUCAAAUAAAAACCUAGUUCACUCGCUAAAGCAGUGGCUGAAUGGUGAAAGCGCCCACCAACCUAGAAAGGCAAAAUGGGUCAAAAAGUAGGUUCGAUUCCUGCCGGAUGCACUGCCUCUUAAAGACAGAAACAGAGGAGGGAAAGAAGGUAGUAUAGGGAACUUGCUUUUGGAUUCUUAUCGAAAGUGAAUCCCUCUAACACUUCUGUUAGUGUUUUAUGAGAAAAUCUUUUAUAGACACAACAAGUGUGAAAAUCCUUAGUCACUAGGCAAGAAAGCUCGAUGGGAACAAAAAGGAUACAAUUAGUUCAGAAUCAAAAAAAUGUACAAUUUCAAAGGAAAGAAGGAAUGGCAAGUUUCCCUCCAUUGAACAUCAAUCAAUCUAGAAAUAGGUAAAGGAAGGCGUAUCACAGGGGUAUUUUUCUUUUUUCUAUUCACUUCCGUGGGGUUCUAAAUUGAAAACAUGAACACAAACGAAAUCGUAUUGAAAUUACAUAAAAAAAGAAAAGGGAGGAGUAGCUCUUGGUUUAAAGAAAAGGGAGGAGAUGGAUCGAAUUCAGUCUUUUUCCUUUCUUUGAUGAUCUUCAACACAUCUAUUUGAAUUCCCUGCGAGUGAAGGAUUUCUCGUAUGGAGAAAAACCUCUUGAGCGCUAUCUGAUCUUAUUUUUGUAUUUCAAAUAUGGGACCUGCCUUUUUAAUGGGACAUCCCGGCAACAGGCCUACUCAUGCAUGUGGCCAAGUACUCGACCAAUCCUCGGAGCGAAGGGAUGAACGAAUUCUCGAGGUCUGGUUCAUUGAGGUCAGCAUCACAUGAAACCUUUAGCACUUCCGUUCGAUAUUGGAUGGAGUAUGGCUGGAAGGUCAGCCUAGCUAGUCUUGUCAAUCGGCCCUGACUCGUCUUCUCCUUGGUACCUACCGCUAUUGAACUUCGGUACCUAUAUUCCUGAAACAAGACAGACCUUCAUGAAGACCUUAUAUUUUGGAAUAAGAUCGGACAUUUCCACAUUGAGGUGAAAUUACAUAUGAGGAAAAUAAUCCUGGACUACGAAAGCUGCCCUUGUGUGGUAGAACCAGGUCUUCCACCGGGCGGUCAGCCAAGUACUGAAGCCCCUAUCUUGAUAUAGAAUAGAAGUGAGUUCACACUAAAAAUAGAAGAAGCCCUAUGAUUUUUUAGCCCUGCUAUCAAUCACUUCGGUAAAGGGAUCGAAAGAUUAUGGUCUGAAAUAGAGAUUUGAGAGUCCCUCGUGUGAGUACGUGCUGAAGAGCAAGGAGUGAAAGUGCGUUCAUCUUUCUUUCUGCUAGUUGUUUCCUGCUAAUAGUGAUUAGUGAGUGCCCCAUACAUAGCCAAUGUCCGCCCGUGUUCACAUCCAGUCUUCUCUGUACACUAGUGCAGCUUCCAGCUCUAUGCUAUGUAUGGUAGUCGUUUGACUCGGGAAUCCCUGAUAAAAGCUUUUAGUCCGUGCCUGGCAGUUUCAGCCGUGGUCCAGUCCAGCAGCCUCUUUUCGAUCCAAGAGUCGCAUGAGAAGAAAGCUUCCGGUUAGCUUCAGUUAGUGUUAGUUAAAUAGAACGGGAACCUCGUAACUAUGCCAAGCCCGAUCUUGGUUCCAAUGCUGCAGAGAAAGGUUAUGGGUAAAAAGAAGGUCUUUAUCCUGGUGCUGCGGAGACCGGUGUUGCUGAUCGAACUCAUUUUCUUUCGAGGAGAUCGAAAAUCUCUGAAUUUCUGCGAAACGAAUUUACAUAUUUAUUGCGAGGGGCUUUGAAAAGCGAAAGGAUGAAGACUGAUUUAGAUCCUCUGAAAGCGCAGGAAGUAUGCCUUUUGAGCUUUUUCUCCACCCACCUCUGAGCAUCCUGUUGGAAUGGUCCUAGGAAAGACUACGUACGAGAAAUCAUUCUCACAGCCAACUUUCCUUCUUCUGAGCAAAUAAAUGUAGUAUUUAGUCCAACCAAUCAUUGGUGAAUCUAUGUCUUUCGUGAAAAGUGGAGUAUUUGUGCCCAAGAUCUUUCUAUUCCCUUUAGUAGGUGCACACAUCUCGUAUGGUAAAUAUACCUUUGUGCCCUAUAAGGUAAGAUUGAUUGACGGAGUCAAGAGAUGGAGAUCUUGGUUUAGCAGCGGCUGCCUGUCCUUUUCUUUCGUGAAAGGUAUGAUCUAGAGUGUGAUUCUGAUCCCGUGAUUGGGUGCUUGGCGUAGAAUGAGUGGAGCAUACUAGGAAUGCCGAAUGCUCGCUCAGUGAGGGAGCUCUGUUGGAGAAGAGUGGGACUAGAAAGAGGGAAUACCCAUGUCAGGCCAUGUAAGGCCAAUAGUUGAGGUACCUGGAUCCAGACAAAACUCCAAACAUGUAAGAAUCUACCUUGAAGCAAGGUUUCUACUGGUUAAUGCGUUCCACCCUAUUGAUGACAGCUAAUGUUACUAAAAGCUUAGAUGAAGAAAGAGCUUCUGAGCGAAGGCUUGUUGGCUUUGGUUGUUGGCGUGGAUUAUCUUGUUAAGCUCUGCAGAGAUGGUGAGCGUGAAGAAAGGACACUACCAUCAAAGAAAGACAGCUCUCAAAUGGAUUUGCUGGUCUAUGAUGACCAAGUAGAAGCAUCCGUUCCACAUAGGUGAUUUUUAUAGAAGCAUAGGCGCA
rnacentral:lncRNA from 1 species